rnacentral:lncRNA from 1 species
UAUGCUCGUGCGGGGUUUGUGUAAAGCCCUUCUGUUUGAGUGAGAUCUGAAUUGCUAUUGUGAUGAUGCAGAGUUGGUGUCUAUUUCUCCAUGGAGAUUUGAGUUUCCUCUUUUUGUUUAUUCUGUGUGUGGUGUUAGUACGAUGGUCUAUUUGCAAGAUGGCUGUAUGGAUAACUCAACUUUGUUUAUUCUGUGAGGGCUUGCUUGGUACCAAAUGUUAUGUGCUUCAUUGUGCAGUGCUGAUUUUGCAGCACUGAUAGAACUUACAACAGUAUUGCAUUGUAGUGUUUUCUGCAUGUUGUCGUAUCACUAGUUCCAUGCUACCUUCACAUUUAAGUCUAUUAGUUGUUUUUGUUUUUAUCCUUGAUUAGUAUCAAAUGUUGUAUUGUAGACUUAAAAUUGUUGUGGUUCCUCUUUUACGGAAGCUCAUGUGUGAAGUCGUGAAGUGUGAAGCAAGUGUGAAGCUGUGAAGUGUGAAGCCAAGUCUGAAGCUGUGAAGUCCAACUCAUUGUAGCAUAUCUGUGUUGUAAAGAUUGUAAUAGAUUUAUUUAGUGGUAUAUUUGAUGAAUUUUAUGUGUUAUUUGUUCUAUUUGAAAUAUUGAUUAUGUAUGUGAUUUGAAAACUUGUGAAAUGGAAACCUGUCCAGUGGGGCCACUUAUGAAAAUAAUCUGUCCAAUUUGUACAUUUCUGACAUGUGGGACCAAUUUUAGAGAUGAACAUGACAAGUUGGACGACUAGUGGGACCAGCUUGAAUAUAUAAUGGUUGGAAAUAGAAAAUUAGUAGACUAAAAGGCCAUGGCCUAGAAAAUAAAGAGGCCGAAUUUUUGGGCCUGGCCCAUGUGGCUAACCAGAAUUAAUAGGAAAAGUAAUAUUAAAUGGGCUGAAUUAGUGGGCUUGGCCCAUGUAGAACACCGUAUUGGACUGCGCUGAAUCUUAUCCAUGUCAGCUUGCCACGCUGGAUCCUACGUGGCCUGGGGAGGCUACCAGUGACCAAAAAUUUGGUCGUAGAACCAACGACCUUUUACAUAUCACAAAGAAGGUCGUUAAUUUCAGUUUACGACCGCCAGCUUUUAACCAUCCGUUUUUGGUCAAAAAAGGUCCCAAAUGAAAAACAAUGACCAUUCAGUGACCAAUAGUGAUGGUCGCAAGUUGAUGUAUUUCUUGUAGUGGGUAAGUAUUUAACCCAAAUUUAUAGAUUCGACACAAGGGGAGCCAAAGAAUAUUUCAAGGUAUUAGCAGCUGAGUUGUCAAAUCAAACACACCUGGAGAUUAAUUAUCUGCAGCAAAGUGAUUAGUAGCAAAGUAGUUUGAUAGUUUUGAUAAUAGUGAUAGCAGUAAUAGUAACAAUAAUAGUGACAGCAGUAAUAUUGUAGCAAGUGUGACAGUAGCAGCAACAAUAGUAACUUAACAAGAACAAUAUAUGAUAAAUUCAUAGGCAUUGAAUCGGUGACUUGUUGGAUGGUAUUCAUCAUGAGACAGUUAUAACCUAGGGCGAUACGGCACUAGCUCCAGUUUAUCGAUAUAAUAUAUGCAUGUAUUCUGUAAAUAGUCAUACGUGCUUUAUUAAAAGAACUUGCAUGACAUCUUUUGUCCUACCCUCCCGUGGCAGUGUGGUCCAUAUUGGAAACUAGGGGAUAUUAAGGCCUCCUUUUAAUAGAGAACCGAAACAAAGCAUUAACACAUAGUGAAUACAUGAACUCCUCAAACUACGGUCAUCACCGAGAGUGGGCGUGGUUGUUGUCACUCCGGAGUUGUCUCGUCAUAACACGUAGUAGGUGACUAUAACUUUCAAGAUCGUAUCUAACACAUGGAUAUAAUGAUGAAUUCAUAAACGGUUCAGAUAUGAAAUCAUGGCACCCGGGCCCAUAGUGACAAACAUUAAGCAUAGCAAAGUCAUAGCAACAUCAAUCUAAGAACAUAGUGGAUACUAGGGAUCAGGCUCUAACAAAACUAACUCGAUUACAUGAAGAAUAUCCUCCAACUCCUCACCGACCAGCGAGCCUACGAAGGAAUUACUCACUCCUGUUGAGCCAUCAUGGAAUUUGUGAUGGAGAUGGGUUGGUGAUGACGAAGAACGAAGAUCCCCCUCUCCAGAGCCCCAAACGGACUCCAGAUCUGCCCUCCCGAGGUAUAACAGGGCUUAGCGGAAGCUCCGUCUCGUGGAUCACGAUAAUCCUUUCUCCUUGAUUUAGGGUGCCCUCCUGCUCCUGUAUAUAAAGGAGCAAUGGGGAGGGGCGGCCGGCCCUCCUAGGGCGUGCCCCACAAGUGGAGUCCUACUAGGACUACUAGUCCUAGUAGGAUUCCACCAAGAGGGAGAGAGGGGGAAGGAAGGAGAGGGAGAGGGAGAAGGAAAGGGGGGCAUCGCCCCCACUUCCCUAGUCCAAUUGGACCCAAGGGGGAGGGCACACGGCCUGCCCUGGUCGCCCGUCUCUCUCUCUCUACUAAGGCCCAUGUGGCCCAUGACCUCCCCCGGGGGGUUCCGGUAACCCUCAGGCACUCCAGUUUUAUUCGAAACAUUUCCGGAACACUUCAGGUGUUCAAAUAUAGCCGUUCAAUAUAUCAAUCUCUAUGUCUCGACCAUUUCGAGACUCCUCGUCAUGUCCAUGAUCUCAUCCGGGACUCCGAACAAACUUUGGUCAUCAAAAACACAUAACUCAUAAUACAUAUCGUCAUCGAACGUUAAGCGUGCGGACCCUACGGGUUCGAGACCUAUGUAGACAUGACCGAGACACAUCUCCGGUCAAUAACCAAUAGCAGAACCUGGAUGCUCAUAUUAGCUCCUACAUAUUAUAUGAAGAUCUUUAUCGGUCAAACCGCAUAACAACAUACAUUGUUCCCUUUGUCAUCGAUAUGUUACUUGCCCAAGAUUCGAUCGUCGGUAUCAUCAUACCUAGUUCAAUGUUGUUACUAGCAACUCUCUUUACUCGUUUUGUAAUACUUCAUCCCGCAACUAACUCAUUAGUUACAAUGCUUGCAAGGCUUAUAGUGAGGAGCGUUACCGAGAGGGCCCAAAGAUACCUCUCACUACAGGAAUCAGGUAAUUUGCCAUCUGUGCUUCACAGACGGCAAAGACAGAAUACAUGAUGGCAAAGAGUUUGCCGUCAACAGCAGACGGCAAAGUGUGUCGGCAAAGGGUAAAUCGGCAAAGCCAUACUUUGCCGUCAGCUUUAUGUCAGGCUGACGGCAAAGGCUUUGCCGUCAGUUUUCACACUUCACCGUCACUCGUUACAGCCUGACGGCAAAGAAAAGCACUUGACGGCUUGACAUCCUAACGAAUGGCGUUAGAUACUUUGUUGUCAGCCUGCAGACGGCAAAGAGCUGAGCACUUUGCUGUCAACAGCAGUCAGUCUACAGACGGCAAAGAGCUAAGCACUUUGCCAUCAGCAGAUAAACGGCAAAGUACUCAUUUGCUGACGGCAAAAUUCUGUACAGAUUUUUUUUAAACUUACCUCGACAAUUCAAUAGACCAUAUAUAUCACAAAUAUAACAGCAAUGUUCCAUAGAAACAAAACAAACCAUAGAAAAUGUCCAUAUAUAUAUCAUAGGGUGUCACAAAGUGUUGCAUACGAGAUCACAAAGUAGACUAAACCAUCACAAAGUAUCACAUCUAGCUGGGCAUCUUCAAGUCAUGUACUACUCCAGGAAUUAGCCUCACAACCAUCAGCUCUACACACACAUGCUAAACUCCAACUAUGCUACUGGAAAGGAAACAACACACAACUACUCGCUAUGUCGAGGAGAUUAAAACACCACAUCAGGUUGACUGUAGCUCCGUGCAACCAAUCAUCGUUGCUGCUCCAUCCCUUAUUCACAUGCCCACUGCAAUUAACCAAACAAAAAAGAGGUUCAGACAUAGAUUUAUCAUAUCAAAUAGAUUAAGACUCAAGAGCAUCAUUCAUCAUACUAAAGGGAUUUUUGCAGUCAAAUAAACUUGUCAAGCAUAUAACAACAUCCUAAUAGACAAGAACCUAUUGACACCAAAUCUAAACUAGCCUAGUACAGGAAUAAAUAUGACAUGUACAACAGCUCCUCCUAGUACAGCUACAGCUCCUAGUACACAUCAUUUAGCAGGAGCAAACAUGACAUGCAAAACAUGGGCAAGUAUUUACAUGCAGAGCAGCAGGAGAAAAUUAAAUAUUUGUUAGAACCAAAUCUGAACUAGCCACAUACAUGGCCAAUGGCAAGGAAUUGCCUCACAGCGUAUCAUGACAUCAAUGAGAACAAGGCAUCUGUUUCGAUCGCAUAGAUCCUUCCUCAAUCAUUAAGUAUAUCAUAAAAGCAGGAAUACCAAACCUGAAAGUCUGUGAGGGAUGACAAAAUACUAAUUGGCAUUGUACAUUUAUUUUCACUAAAGUGAUGGCACAACCCAGAGCCUACCCGUGUCUCAGUUCUGAUAAAGUGUGUAAUCAGAAAACUAUUUCAGUUCUGUAGAGCAACCCAAACCAUGUACCCCCAUCUACUCGUUGUAGAAAGAUUACCCGCUCAUGAGAACCUGGACAGCAAUAAAGAAACCAGUUGGAGAUUAUUGAGUUCAUCUUAUACUUCAUGGAUCCAUGGGAGCACAGACGACAAACAUAUAAUGUGUAACCUUGUAGAGAGGUGUUGUGAUAGGUGUUACAUAUAAUUAGUUGUGUGGAUUUGAACUGCAGACAUACCUGGAUACAACCAAAGUAAUAACUAUGCAUUGAUAAAGAGAAGAGUACCGUUGUUUAAUGCCCCUGCCAAAACAUGAACAUCCUCUUGCCAGAAAUAAAUAGUAGAAGGGAGCAGUCAUAAAUUAUUACUCCCUCCGUUCCUUGAUAUAAGGUGUAUAUAUUUAUGAGAAAGACCCCGAAAUAUAAGGUGUAUUGCAUCGCACCACUCAUUUGGAUAAUUUUUUAGGGAUUUGAUUACAUUUUCUUAUAUGAGGCAAGCUCCUCUAUUUUCUCAUGUCAAUUAGUCAGGUGUAAUCUCGCCCAAAACUUUUGAAAUUUUCCAUGCGCGUGCGUUCUUUAAUUUCCGUGCCAAAAACUAUACACCCUAUAUACAGCAAUGGAGGGAGUAUUAUUUAAUAGAAGGAGCAGUCGUAAUUGUUGUGCCCAAACAUGUAUUUUGUACCAUUAUUGAGAAUACAUAUUUUAAGAACAUCAAUCUCAUAAUAUAACAUAGGAAAUAAUUUGAAUGCAGAGUACUCCAACAUAGAACAUACAACCCUAGGAUUAACUGCAUAGAAUGAAGGGAAGGGAAGGGUCGGACCUGUCCUUGACGAGCUGCUCCAUGGCGUGCCUCUCCUAACGAGCACAAGCAGGUCCUGUCCCGGCGCGGAUCUGGCCACCGCCAACAUGGCCGGACGGCUAGGGUUGGAGGAAGGGAGGCCAUGGUGGUGCUUCUGCUGCUGGCCGCACCUACAGAGAUGACGAGAGACAGGGGGUCAAAGAAAGAGUCGGAGAAGAGAAGGGGAAGUAACACCGUUCCGCCGUCGUCGAGGUAGCCACCGUCGUCGUCGUCGCCGUCUGUCACAAUGGCCCGGCGGCUAGGGUUUCCAGCGCGAAGAGUGAGGGAGGGCGGGCGGAUCUGAGCACGAAGAGUGAGGGAGGGUGGGCGGAUCUGAGCGCGUGAGGGAGGGAGUGAGCUAGGGUUUCGGGCUAGCGGCGGCGGGUGUGGGGGAGGCCACUAGAGGAAUCGGGGCAGAGAGGAGAGAAUGAGAGAGAGGGCCAGCUCGGGCAGAGGCUUUGCCUCCUCAGCGGAUAGGCUGGUGGGCCAGUGCGCCGAGACCCAUUGGCCCAUAUGGCCUUUGCCGUCAGUCCCCAGUAACGCACAGACGGCAAAGAUGGGCUCCUGUUUUCCCACCAUCACCUGCAUUCAUUUUGCUGUCUUCAAAUCUUUGCUGUCAGCUAACAUCUGUCUUUGCCGUCAGCUGGAAACAAACACAGACGACAAAGUAUGCAUUUGCCGUCAGCAAAACAAAAAUAGAAGGCAAAGUAUAUCUUUGUCGUCGUUUGUUCUUUGCCGUCAUCCACUGACGGCAAAGUAUGUCUUUGCCGUCUGCCCCGAUGAAAAGCUGACGGCAAAGUGCAGUACUGACAGCAAAUUAGCUGAUUCCUGUAGUGUCUCCGUAACACGGAGUGACAAAUCCUAAUCUUGGUCUAUGUUGUGACGUUUGAUAGCACACAAGGUGUUCCUCCGGUAUUCGGGAGUUGCAUAAUCUCAUAGUCUGAGGAACAUGUAUAAGCACUAGUAGAAAAAGGGCCAUUAGUCCCGAUUCGUGAGGGCCAUUUGUCCCGGUUCCCGAACCGGGACUAAAGGGUUGGUACUAAAGCCCUAUACCUUUAGUCCCGGUUCGCCCAGGAACCAGGACAGAUGGGGCUCCACGUGGCCGCUGCCGCUUGCCCAGGUAGGGGGAACUUUUGUCCCGGUUGUUGCCACCAACUGGGACCAAAAGGCUUUGACGCGUUAGCAGUUCAGGGGCUGGGGGUUUUGUUUUUUUCUAAAGGGGGGGUGGGGGUUUUGGGGGUUUUGUAGGGUUAAUUUAGGGGUUUCAUACAUUGUGCUAGCUAGCUAUAAUAGAGAGAAGUGUCCUCUCUUAUCUCCGUGCUUGGUCGACACUACGUACUAUACGUAUAGAGAGGACUCAAGACACUAGCUAGCUAGUAAGCAAAUGAAGGAAACCAUUAAGUACAGAAGAUCGUCAUGAACAUAUAUAUAGAGAAGUGAUCGACCUCUCCUUCUCCAAGAGAUUGGUCGAACAACAAGUUUUCGUAUAUCUUACCGACGCUACUGGCUACAUAUAUAUAUAUAUAUAUAUAUAUAUAUAUAUAUAUAUAUAUAUAUAUACACACACACAAUGUGUAAGAUCUCUUACAAUAACCUAACAUAUGAACUCAACUUCCACAUGCAUGGUAUUCUCCGGCUUUAUUGAUGACGUGGUCAAGAAAGAAUCCAGCCAAUUCCUCUUGAAUUGCUCGCAUGCGAUCUUGUGGUAGGAGUUCAUCCCGCAUCUGCCACAUCUAAUUUGAAUAAGGGGGUCAAUACAUAUAUAUGAAUGAAACUCAACAGAAAUGAUGUUAAUAAAAUAAAAUUGUGAAUAUUUUUGCUUACACACUUCAUAUUGUAUUUUAGAGUAGCCCCACCUAUUCUUGGUCGUUGCGUUGUAGAUGAACUCACAGACGUAGUAUCCAUAGUAAUUAUUCCUGGCUUCCUGCCACAAGAACUUUACGAGAAAUAGAGGUCAAUCAAACUAAUAAUGAAGCAUUAUAAAUGGCAUAGAUGAAAGUAGCUAGAAUCAACGGGAGAUGCAGGGAACUAGCUAUCUAGUAGUACUUACUUUCGGGUAUUUCCAUCGCAGAUCCCGCAGCAGUCCCGGAACUUGUGCGGUGAAUACUUUCCAAACCCUGCAAGACAAAGAAAACAAUUACUUGAUAUCAUGAAAUGAACAAAGUUGCCGAUAUGGUGCAAUAAUGAUUGAUUCAACUUACUUGUCGAGCAUUUUUAGUCAUGGUCGCAUACUCCUCCAGAUUUUUUUGUCUCGUGUCCAAGAAGUUUACUCGUCCCUACUCAAGCUUAAUCUCUAGCAGAAUAUAGUGGAAGCUGCGCACACAUGCAUAACUCAUCAAUUACAUUAAUUACUAUAAGCUCGAGUAAUAAUUAAGGGAAACCGAAUAUGCACAAGAUAGUAACACUCACUUGAAGUUGUAAGAAAAGAGUAUUGUAUCUUUGUUUUGAUUUAUUACCAAUGAUCAUAGCAAGUUGUCCUCGGUUUCUUUGGCAUGAAAUGUAACCGUAUAUUCAUCUAUGAGAUUUGUGUUAAUGAACCCAAUAUCAUACAUUUCACUUUUCUGCAUUCGACAUUCUUCAAUCUGCAUAAUAUAGUGAGGAUAAUUAUAUAUACAUGCAAUGAAAGAGCUGAGCUAUAUAUAGAGACUUAAUGACAGAAGUAGUACUUACAGACAGUAGGAACUGACUGUUAAUUUAUCAAGGGCCUUUUGAUUGAAAAACUGGAAGAACUCCUCAAAUGGAACAGGCAACUGCUCAAUUCCAAUGAGGUCGUGCUGAUACUCUUUAACUUUCAGCGUCAAAGUAUCGAUUUUCUUCCUAGACUUUCUGCAGGUUUCCAUGUACCAAUCAUGAAAUCUUCGCAUCAUCAUUGUUAGAGUAGUUCCAUCUUUGACGAGAGGCUUCCCGUACUCAUAUUUGAAUUUGUCCACCUCCAUUAUAUCAAAAUGUGCAUCAUCUCGUGCAUGUAAUCUGCAGGAUUGGUACCGCGCAUGAUCCCCGGAUGAUUAGCAACGAUAUCGCUAGACACCUUGAGCGGGGGGCAUAAUUGGUUCUCUUGUUCGCCGAGCUGGGGAAUUUUUUUCCCACUUCUUCAUUCUUGUAACCUUUUGUCACUGCAAGUACUUCCGGACCUCUUCGCUUCCUUAUAUGUCCUUUCAGUAAUGCGCUCAUAGUUGGUUUGCGGCGGAGACGGUGGUGGUCACUGUAGGGCAUCCAAAGUGCGCUUCGCUUUCACCAGAUCUAUCUUCUCCUCCGGUGGUGGAUGUUUCUUAGCUCUUUGCCUUUCGAAGUAGUCCUUCACUUGGGCUUGACAGAUCUCCACGUUUUCCUUUUCGGUCAUCUCGUAUGGUAACUUCUCUGGAGUCUUGAGAGGUGGACCGAAUCUGUAUUGCCUCCCACCUCUGGCUAUACUGCUAGACGUCGGAGUAGGCCGAGCGGUUGCGGCUGUUGUCUUUUGUUGCUUACGAGGCGGAGGAGAAGGACUACGACACGCCAGAGCAGCCAGAGCGGCGGCGGGUCUCUUCCGCCCUUGCUGACGAGGCAGAGAAGGAGGAGGCUGGCUGGUCAGGCGCGUCGGCGCAGGCGGAGAAGGAGGCGGAGUGCUGCCACGCGCCGGAGAAGGAGGCAGAUUGCCCUGAUCACUCGCCGGAGAAGCAGGCGGAGCAGGAGGCGGAGUGCCCUGACUCGCCGAAGGAGGAGGAGGCGGCGGAGGCGUCCAGUUCGGAAGGUUGAUGAGCUCCUUCCGCCAUAGGCACGGAGUCUUUAGAGCAGAACCCAGCCGAGUGUCCCCUUCACCAGUAGGGUGGUCAAGCACGAGCUCCUCAAAUCCCUACAUUAUUUCGUCCACUAUCACCCUAGCAUAUCCUUCUAGAAUUGGACGGCAGUGAAAAGUUGCGCCGGGUUCAGGAGGUUGAACAGAGCCGACAGCCGUCUUGACUUUUUAGUUAUACCAUUGUGUCAUAAGGUGGCAAUGUUGAGACUCUGUGAUAGCAUCCACGGGGUAGCUAGCAGGAGCCGUGAAGACAGGCUCCAGCUGAAGCAGCUCGGUGGAAGCCACGCUACUUCUCCACUGAGAUGGCAGGGUAGCUUCGGGGUAGCUUCGGCAGGUCGCUUGCUUCGAACUGCUUCUCAUUCCUCUAGCUUCCGUACCCUUGCGUGCAUCUCCGGCAGUUCGCUCUGCUCCACUUUCCUCCUCUCUUGGCAUUUGUAACCGCCUGCGUCCAGAAAUCCAACCUUCCAUGGAACGGAGCCUGGCAUGCCUCGUGUCCGUCCAGGGUGCUCAGGAUUCCCGAGGGCCAUUGUGAGCUCGUCCUUCUCUCUGUCUGGAACAAACGUCCCUUCCUGAUUUGCGGCAAUAUAGUCCUGAAGCUUCGUGACGGGUAUUCGCAGUUUCUCGCUCGUCCAAACACACUUCCCUGUUACAGGGUCCAAGGUUCCGCCAACCCCGAAGAACCAAGUCCCUGAAUGGUAUGGCUAGUUCAAUGUCUCUAGUUCGACCCCUUUAUCAAGCAGGUCAUUCUCAGCCUUAGCCCACAACGAUCGGGCAUUGAGGUAGCCACCUGACCCCGUGCGAUGGUGAUGCUCCUUCUUCGUAGCAUUUAUCUUGUUUGUUGCUGACAUCUUCUUACUCCUGUCCGAUGUCUUGUUGGCCACAAAUGCGUCCCAUUGAUCUCUGAGCUUCUCAUACCGGCCGAUGAAUUCUGGUUUCUUUUCUUUGUCGACAAACUUUGCUUUCACCUCAUUCUUCCACCUCCUGAAUAGAUCUUCCAUCUUCUUGAGAGCACAGGACUUGAUCAAUGGAUCUAUAACUGGAUUUUCCGGACCCUCCUCUUCCGGUAGGGUGAAAUUUACCUUCAGCGCUUUCCAAAGAUCCUCUUUCUGUCUAUCUUUGACAAAAGAAACUUUAAGCUCUUCCUUCUUAGUCUCAUUCCAUAGCUUGAUGCUGAUCGGGAUCAUGUCCCUAACAAGAACCCCGCACUGAGCAGAAAAUGCUUCCUUGGUCCGGAGGGGUUCAAUUGGUUGGCCAUCACGCGAGAUUGCUGUGAUCAUGAACCUUUCAUCCGAGCACAACAUUUUCUUCGGGACCUGUCUCUUUACCGAAGAUGUGCUCGAUUCGGAGGGCUAGAAAAAAGAAGAAGACGAGAGUUAAUAUGUGUAGAUACCAAAACAAUUAAUGCAUAAAUUAGCUAGUCAGCACAGGCUUAAUUAAUAUAUAUCCCUGGCCGGACUCUGUUCGGUCACUGGAACCGUCAUCGCGGUCUCCUUCUUGCACCGGCAUUCGGUCACCGGAGCCAUCAUAAUCAUGUCCUUCCUCCUCCGUUGUUCGAUAACCGUAGCCUGCUUCACCAUCUCCUUCCAGACCAUCGGUUUCAUUGAGAUACGACAUGACAUCACCUCCGUUUGCGAUCAUGUCCCCCAACACCUGUUCUGCUUCCUCGUCUCGGCCAUGCUCCAUAGUUUCUGUAAAUAUUACAACAUGGAAAUUAUUAUACAAACAUGACAGAUGGAUAUAUUAGUGGCAAACAUAGACCUAGCUAUAGCUAAUCACAACAAGGAAUUAUAUUAAUUAGUGGCCUCGAUGCUUCUCUAGGGUUUGGGGUGGCCUCGACAACGCUUCAAUGGUUCGGGGUGGCCUCGACGAAAACGCUCUUUUAACUUGGUAAAUUUGGGUGGCCUCGGCAGCGCUUCUAGGGUUUGGGGUGGGCUCGACAACAACACUCUUUUAACUUGGUAAAUUUGGGUGGCCUCGGCAACGCUUCUAGGGUUUGGGCCGGACCGCCUCUCUCAUGAUUGUCUGAUGUUUGUCUAGUGUCAAAGGAUUCAACAAAACCAUGUCUUCAUCAUUAGGCAAAAGUAACAGGCCCAUGAUGGUACAAAGCUCUCCAAAGUUAUUUUGGAAAGGAAUCCCAGAUAGGAUAAUUCGGUUUUUGGUACAAAGUACAGCAAGAGCCUUCCGAAUAUCGCUAUUUGGAAGGCCUUUGCUGAAAUUACUACCAAAAGGAGGAUUAUACUAUCCGGGACUCCGUUUCAGAAUAACUUUGGAGAACUUCGUACCAUCAUGCCCCGGUUACUUCCGGCUAAUGAUGAAUCCAUGGAUUUCUUCAAUACUUUGACACUAGGCAACCACUCGACCCCUCGGUGAUCCUCGACCCUCGAGCCUAGCUAGUUCACGACCCUCGACCGCUCGGCGAUCCACGACCCUCUACCCUAGUUCCCGACCCUCGACCCCCUCAUGUCAUGUUUGUCUAGUGUCAAAGGAUUCAACAAAACGAUGUCUUCAUCAUUAGGCGAAACUAACAGGCGCAUGAUGGUACGAAGUUCUCCCAAGUUAUUCUAGAAUGGAAUCCCAGAUAGGAUAAUUCGCUUUUUGGUACAAAGUACAAGAAGAGCCAUCCGAAUAUUGCUAUUUGGAAGGCCUUUGCUGAAAUUUGUACCAAAAGGCGGAUUAUCCUAUCCGGGACUCUGUUCCAGAAUAACUUUGGAGAACUUCGUACCAUCAUACCCCGGUUACUUCCGGCUAAUGAUGAAGCCAUGGAUUUCUUCAAUACUUUGACACUAGGCAACCUCUCGACCCCUCGGCGAUCCUCGACCCCUCAACACCUCAGCCCCUCGACGACCAUUGAACCCUCGAACCUAGAACCCUCGAACCCUCGACCCUCGAACCUAGAACCCUCGAACCCUCGACCCUUGACCCUAGAACCCUCGAACCCUCGACCCUCGAACCCUCAAACCCUCGACNNNNNNNNNNNNNNNNNNNNNNNNNNNNNNNNNNNNNNNNNNNNNNNNNNNNNNNNNNNNNNNNNNNNNNNNNNNNNNNNNNNNNNNNNNNNNNNNNNNNNNNNNNNNNNNNNNNNNNNNNNNNNNNNNNNNNNNNNNNNNNNNNNNNNNNNNNNNNNNNNNNNNNNNNNNNNNNNNNNNNNNNNNNNNNNNNNNNNNNNNNNNNNNNNNNNNNNNNNNNNNNNNNNNNNNNNNNNNNNNNNNNNNNNNNNNNNNNNNNNNNNNNNNNNNNNNNNNNNNNNNNNNNNNNNNNNNNNNNNNNNNNNNNNNNNNNNNNUGACCCUAGAACCCUCGAACCUCAAACCCUUGACCCUCGACCGGCCUCGACGACCCUCGACCCCUCUGUGACCCUCGACCCUCUAGCCUAGUUCCCGACCCUCGACCCCUCGGCGAUCCUCGACACCCGCGUUCCCGAUAAAAAGAAGAAGAAGAAGAAGAAAAAGAGAGGAGAAGAAGAAAAAAAGAAGAAGAAGAGGAAGAGGAAAUAAAAGAAAAAAUAUACAUUUUUUCUUCUUCUCCUCUAUUCCUUCUUCUUCUCCUUUUUUUCUUCUACUUCCUCUUCUUGUUUUUUCUCCUCUUCUUCUCCUUCUUCUCCUUCUUCCUUCUUCCUCUUUUAUCUUUUUCCUUAUUUCCUUCUUCCUCGACGACCCUAACCCUAAAGAGUACAACUUCCUCGACGUCCUCGCCUCUCUCAUGAACAAAAAAAUCUAUGAAUAAAAAGAACAUCAUAUUCUAUGAACAAAAAAACAUCAUAUUCCAUCCACAUCCACGCAUACAUCAUAUAUAUGAUCAUCUAUGAAAAAACAUCAUAUUCUACAAAAAAAAUCAUAUAUACGAACAAAAACAAUUAUGAUAACAAGCAUAUAUAUCAUCAUAUAUAUGAACAAAAAUAAGCAUAUAUAUGAAAAAACAAGCAUAUAUAUCAUAAUAUAUAUGAAAAAAACAAGGACAGGGAGGGCGCUAGCCGUACCAAGGUGAGGAGGGGCAGGGGCAUGGAGUCGACGGCGAGGACGGUGACGGCGAUGACUUCGAUGGGGCNNNNNNNNNNNNNNNNNNNNNNNNNNNNNNNNNNNNNNNNNNAAUGCACCCCUUUAGUCCCGGUUGGUGCCACCAACUGGGACCAAAGGUCUCUUUUCAGCAGCGCAAAGGGCGGGAAAUAGAGGCCUUUGGUCCCAGUUGAUGGCACCAACCAGGACUAUAGGGGUGCAUUAGUCCCGGUUGGUGGCACCAACCGGGACUAAUUCCGCCCUUUAUUCCCGGUUGGUGCGACCAACCAGAACCAAAGGCCCUGUGCUGCCCGCGUUGCAGCCAAAAUUUAGUCCCACCUCUCUAGUUGAGAGAGCUUGAGAGUGAUUUAUAAGCGCUGCUGCGCCAACCCUCUCGAGCUCCUCUUAACUGCAGGCUUUCGGGCCUAACCUGUCACUGUGUGCCUAUGGGCCUACUCGGCCUCCUGCGGGCCUGAAUCCUGGCCCAUGAUUGGGUUUCUAUUCGUAUUCAGGCCGUGGUGGCCCAGUAGGUGGCACUUUUUUUGCUUUAUUUAUUUUAUUUUGUUUCUACUUACUGUUGCUAUUUUUAUUUAUUUUAUUAAAGUUUAUUUAUUUUACAUUAUUAAAGUUUAUUUUGUUUCUACUUAUUUAUUUUAUUUUGUUUCUACUUAUUUAUUUUCUUUUCUUUUUUGCUUUGUUUAUUUUUUUUGCUUUAUUUAUUUUGUUUUGUUUCUACUUACUGUUGCUAUUUUUAUUUAUUUUUUUAAAGUUUAUUUAUUUUACUUUAUUAAAGUUUAUUUUACUUCUACUUAUUUAUUAAAGUUUAUUUUGUUUGUACUUAUUUUUUUAUUUUGUUUGUACUUAUUUUCUUUUCUUUUUUGCUUUUAUUUUAUUUUAUGAAAAUUCCUUUUGCUUUUAAUGUUUUGAACGGAAAAUACUUUGAUAAUUUUAGUUGCAUAAAUUUUAUAUAAUUUUAGUUUCAAUGAUACUAGAUGUUUAUAAAAGCUUUUUGGUCGAUCCCUGAAAUUGAUAAGCUUUUCAAAUGAACUCUGAAAAGGUUGAAAGUUGGCAUGGUAUCAUCAUUUCAUCCACAUAGCAUGUGCUAAAAAGUUGAGAGGGUUACGACAAAAACUGGAUGCACUACGUGUACAAAACAGACAAUCUCUUUGGAAGUAUCAGGGUUUCGGACGAAAACUCAUCUGUUACAAAGGGAUUUCAUUUGUUCAAAUGUAACUGCAGUGAUAUUCUACAUCAAAGGCAUCAUCAUAAUAGUUGUUGAUAGAAAGUCUUCACUUUUUCUUCGCUUGUGUUCUUUGCUUAUUGCGCCGUAACCAUGGAUAAUCUUCAUCAUUUAACAUGGUGGUUGGGUUAUCCUUGACUUUGAAGGGAGGAAUUUCAUGAAACUUUUCAUAAUCUUCAAACAUGUCUAUCUUGCCCUCCAAUCCCAUGAUGUCUCUUUUUCCUAAAAGAACUAUGUGGCGCUUUGGCUCGUCGUAUGAUGUAUCCGCUUCCUUAUCUUUUCUUUUUCUCGGUUUGGUAGACAUGUCCUUCACAUAGAAAACCUGCGCCACAUCAUUGGAUAGGAAGAAUUUCUCGUCUGUGUACCCCAGAUUGUUCAGAUCCACUGAUGUCAUUCCGUAGGUCUACCUGUACCCCGCCUCCUGACAGAUUAACCCAUUUGCACUUAAACAAAGGGACCUUAAUAUCAUAUCAAUAGUCAAGUUCCCAUAUGUCCACUAUGUAACCAUAAUAUGUGUCCUUUCCCCUCUUGGUUGCUGCAUCAAAGCGGACACCACUGUUUUGGUUGGUGCUCUUUUGAUCUUGGGCGAUCAUGUAAAAUGUAUUCCUAUUUAUCUCGUACCCUUUGUAAGUCAUUACAGUCGAAGAUGGUUCCCUUGCCAAAGAGUACAGGUCAUCAGAAACAGUGUUGUCACACCUAAGACGUGUUUGGAACCAACUGCCAAAACUCCUGAUUUGUUCACAUGUAAUCCAAUCGUCACACUAGUCCGGGUGUUUGGAGCGUAGAAUGUUCUUGUGUUCAUCGACAUACGGGGUCACCAAGGUAGAAUUCUAUAGAAUCGUGUAGUGUGCUUCAGACCAAGAAUGCCCAUCCCUACAUAUUAUUGAGUCCCCUCCUAGUGUGCCUUUUCCACCCAGUCUCCCCUCAUACCGCGGUUGAGGGAGACAUGUCUUCUUAUGGUCAGGAAUGAAGUCAACACACAACCCAAUGACUUCCCCUAUUUGAUGGCCCAUGGAGAUGCUUCCUUCUGGCCUAGCACGGUUACGCACAUAUUUCUUUAGGACUCCCAUGAACCUCUCAAAGGGGAACAUAUUGUGAAGAAAUAUAGGGCCCAAAACGACAAUCUCGUCGACUAGAUGAACUAGGACGUGCGUCAUGAUAUUGAAGAAGAUUGGUGGGAACACCAGCUCGAAACUGACAAGACAUUGCGCCACAUCACUCCUUAACCUUGGUAGGAUUUAUGGAUCCAUCACCUUCUGAGAGAUUGCAUUGAGAAAUGAACAUAGCUUCACAAUGGCUAAUCGAACGCUUUCCAGUAGAAGCCCCCUCAAUGCAACCUGAAGCAGCUGCGUCAUAAUCACGUGGUAGUCAUGAGACUUUAGGUUCUGGAACUUUUUCUCUGCCAUAUUUAUUAUUCCCUUUAUAUUCGAUGAGUAGCCAAACGGGACCUUCAUACUGACCAAGCAUUCAAAGAAGAUUUCCUUCUCUUCUUUGGUAAGAGCAUAGCUGGCAGGACCUUCAUACUGCUUUGGAGGCAUGCCGUCUUUUUCGUGCAAACGUUGCAGGUCCUCCCGUGCCUCCGGUGUAUCUUUUGUCUUCCCAUACACGCCCAAGAAGCCUAGCAGGUUCACGCAAAGGUUCUUCAUCCCGUGCAUCAUGUCGAUUGAAGAGCGGACCUCUAGGUCUUUCUAGUAGAGUAGGUCCCAAAAUAUAGAUUUCUUCUUCCACAUGGUUGCGUGUCCCUCAGCAUGUUUCCGAACAGAUAAUCUGCUGGGACCCUUUUCGAAUAUUACUUUUAAAUCAUUGACCAUAGCAAGUAUGUGAUUAUCGGUACGCAUGGUGGGCUUCUUCUGGUGAUUUACCUCGCCUUUGAAGUGUUUGCCUUUCUUUCGACAUUGAUGGUUGGUCAAAAGGAAUCGACGAUGCCCCAGGUAAACAUUCUUCCUACUUUUGUCCAGGUAUAUACUUUGAGAGUCAUCUAAACAGUGCAUGCAUGCCUGGUAUCCCUUGUUUGUCUGUCCUGAAAGGUUACUGAGAGCAGGCUGAUGACCGACAAGUAUAGGGGAUCUAUCGUAGUCCUUUCAAUAAGUAAGAGUGUCGAAUCCAACGAGGAGCAGAAGGAAAUGAUAAGCGGUUUUCAGCAAGGUAUUCUCUGCAAGUACUGAAAUAAGUGGUAACAGAUAGUUUUACGAUAAGAUAAAUGGUAAUGAGCAACAAGUAAUAGAAGUAAAUAAAGUGCAGCAAGGUGGCCCAAUCCUUUUUGUAGCAAAGGACAAGCCUGGACAAACUCUUAUGAUAGGAAAAGUGCUCCCGAGGACACAUGGGAAUAUCAUCAAGCUAGUUUUCAUCACGCUCAAAUGAUUCGCGUUCGGUACUUUGAUAAUUUGAUAUGUGGGUGGACCGAUGCUGGGGUACUGCCCUUACUUGGACAAGCAUCCCACUUAUGAUUAACCUCUAUUGCAAGCAUCCUCAACUACAACAAAAGUAUUAAGGUAAACCUAACCAUAGCAUGAAACAUGUGGAUCCAAAUCAGCCCCUUACGGAGCAACGCAUAAACUAGGGUUUAAGCUUCUGUCACUCUAGCAACCCAUCAUCUACUUAUUACUUCCAAAUGCCUUCCUCUAGGCCAAAUAAUGGUGAAGUGUUAUGUAGUCGACGUUCACAUAACACCACUAGAGGUUAGACAACACACAUCUUAUCAAAAUAUCGAACGAAUACCAAAUUCACAUGACUACUAAUAGCAAGACUUCUCCCUUGUCCUCAGGAACAAACGUAAUUACUCACAAAGCAUAUUCAUGUUCAUAAUCAGAGGGGUAAUAAUAUGCAUAUAGGAUCUGAACAUAUGAUCUUCCACCAAAUAAACCAACUGGCAUCAACUACAAAGAGUAAUCAACACUAGUAGCAACCUACUAGCACCAAUCCCGGACUUGGAGACAAGAAUUGGAUACAAAAGAUGAACUAGGGUUUGGAGAUGAGAUGGUGCUGAUGAAGAUGCUGAUGGAGAUUGCCCUCUCCCGAUGAGAGGAGCGUUGGUGAUGACAAUGGUGAUGAUUUCCCCCUCCCAGAGGGAAGUGUCCCCGGCAGAAAAGCUCCGCCAGAGCCCUAGAUUGGUUCCGCCAAGGUUCCACCUCGUGGCAGCGGAGUCUCGUCCCGAAAGGUUCUCUCUGAUUUUUUUCUCAUCGAAAUACUUCAUAUAGGAGAAGAUGGGCGUCGAAGAGCCACCAGGGGGCCCACGAGGUAGGGGGCGCGCCCAGGGGGGCGCGCCCAGGGGGGCGCCCCCACCCUCGUGAGCAGGGUGUGGGCCCCCUGGCCUUCAUCUUUGGCGAAGAUUUUUCUUUAUUUAUUCUAAGGUAUUCCGUGGAGUUUCAGGACUUUUGGAGUUGUGCAGAAUGGUCCUUCAAUAUUUGCUCCUUUUCCAGCCCAGAAUUCCAGCUGUCGGCAUUCUCCUAUUCAUGUAAACCUGGUAAAAUAAGAGAGAAUAGCCAUAAGUAUUGUGACAUAAUGUGAAAUAACAGCCCAUAAUGCAAUAAAUAUUAUCAUAAAAGCAUGAUGCAAAAUGGACGUAUCAACUCCCCCAAGCUUAGACCUCGCUUGUCCUCGACGAAAAGCCGAUAACAAUAAAUAUGUCCUCAUGUUUAGAGGUAGAGGCGUCGAUAAAAAUAAAAUACGGACAUGAAAGCAUCAUGAUUAUUUCAUAAGAGCAACAUAAAUAGAUUUUUUCAUAUGAUUACUCAUGUUCAAGUAGUGAUCUAUUCACAAAGCCAAAGCAUGAAUCAGAAACAUUAUUGGGCACUAACAAUUAUACUCUCAGUCAUUGAAGCAAUUGCAAGUUAUCAUAACAUCAGAAAGAGUCUAUGUCAGAGCUUAAAAGCAAGUCCACAUGCUCAACUAUCAUUUAGUCCUUCAUAAUUGCUAGCACUCACGCGAUACUUGUGGUUACGGAGUUUUAAUCGGACACAGAGAAAGAUAGGGGCUUAUAGUUUUGCCCCACAACCUUUUACCUCAAGGGUAAUGUCAACAAUAAUAAUUCGUGCUCCCCCACAUCCAAUUAGAUAUGUAUAUCAUACUCUUUCCAACAUGCUGAGCUUGGCAAAGGAUAAAAUGAAAAAGGAAUGGUGAGGAUCACUGUGACUCUUGUAAGGUAGAGGAUAAUAAUAAAAGAUAGGCCCUUCACAGAGGGAAGCAGAGGUUGUCAUGCGCGUUUAGGGUUGAUGCACAAAAUCUUAAUGCAAAAGAACGUCACUUUAUAUUGCCCCUUGUAUGUGAACCUUUAUUAUGCAGUCCGUCGCUUUUAUUGCGUCCACAACAAGUUCGUACAAAGCUUAUUUCUCUACAUUAAUAAAUCAUGCAUAUUUAGAGAGCAAUUUUUAUUGCUUGCACCGAUGACAACUUACUUGAAGGAUCUUACUCAAUCCAUAGGUAGAUAUGGUGGACUCUAAUGGCAAAACUGGUUUAAGGGUGUUUGGAAGCACAAGUAGUAUUUCUACUUGGUGCUAAGAAUUUGGCUAGCAUGAGGGGGAAAGGCAAGCUCAACAUGGUAGAGGAUCAAUGACAACAUACUUUAUCUCGAAUGUAAGAAAACAUAACUCAUUAUGUUGUCUUCCUUGUCCAACCUCAACUCUUUAGCAUGUCAACCCCACCCUCGUGAGCAGGAUGUGGGCCCCCUGGCCUUCAUCUUUGGCAAUGAUUUUUCUUUAUUUAUUCUAAGGUAUUCUGUGGAGUUUCAGGACUUUUGGAGUUGCGCAGAAUGGUCCUUCAAUAUUUGCUCCUUUUCCAGCCCAGAAUUCCAGCUGUCGGCAUUCUCCCUCUUCAUGUAAACCUUGUAAAAUAAGAGAGAAUAUCCAUAAGUAUUGUGACAUAACGUGAAAUAACAGCCCAUAAUGCAAUAAAUAUUAUCAUAAAAGCAUGAUGCAAAAUGGACAUAUCACAGGCCAAUCAUUGAUGGUGACAAACAAUAACGCUUGCAGGUCAAAUUCCUCCUGUUUGUGCUCAUCCCACACACGUACACCAUUUCCAAUCCACGCCUAUAAAAGUUCUUCAACUGAUGGCCUUAGGUGCACAUCAAUGUUGUUGCCGGGUUGCUUAGGGCCUUGGAUGAGAACUAGCAUCAUAAUGAACUUCCGCUUCAUGCACACCCAAGGAGGAAGGUUAUAGAUACAUAGAGUCAUAGGCCAGGUGUUGUGAUUGCUGCUCUUCUCCCCGAAAGGAUUAAUGCCAUCUACGCUUAAACCAAACCAUAUGUUCCUUGCGUCACCUCCAAACUCCUCCCAGUACUUUCUCUCAAUUUUUCUUCACUACGACCCAUCAGCGGGUGCUCUCAACUUCCCGUCUUUCUCACGGUCAUCUCUGUGCCAUCACAUCAACUUGGCAUGCUCUUUGUUUCUGAACAGGUGUUUCAACCAUGGUAUUGUAGGAGCAUACCAUAUCACCUUGGCAGGAACCCUCUUCCGUGGGUGCUCGCUGUCAACAUCACUAGGGUCAUCUCGUCUGAUCUUAUACUGCAAUGCACCGCAUACCAGGCAUCCUUCGAAACCUCGUACGCACCAUGGUACAUGAUGCAGUCAUUAGGGCAUGCAUGUAUCUUCUGCACCUCCAAUCCUAGAGGGCAUACAACCUCCUUUGUUGCAUAUGUACUGUCGGGUAAUUCGUUAUCCUUUGGAAGCUUCUUCUUCAAUAUUUUCAGUAGCUUCUCAAAUCCUUUGUCAGGCACACCAUUCUCUGCCUUCCACUGCAGCAAUUCCAGUACGGUAUCGAGCUUUGUGUUGCCAUCUUCGCAAUUCGGGUACAAACCUUUUUUGUGAUCCUCUAGCAUGUGAUCGAACUUCACCUUCUCCUUUUCACUUUCGCACUGACUCCUUGCAUCAACAAUGACCUGGCGGAGAUCAUCAUCGGGCACAUCGUCUAGUUCCUCUUGAUCUCAACAGCUUCCCCCAUUGUAGCAUCACCGUAUUCAGGGGUCACAUAGUUUUCAUCGUCCUCUUCUUCUUCGUUGUCUUCCAUCAUAACCCCUAUUUCUCCGUGCUUGGUCCAAACAUUAUAGUGUGGCAUGAAACCCUUCUCAAGCAGGUGGAUGUGAAGGGUUUUCUUGUUAGAGUAAGACUUUGUAUUCUCACAGAUAGGGCAUGGACAACACAUAAAACCAUUAUGCUUGUUUGCCUCACCCACUUCGAGAAAAUCAUGCACGCCCUUAAUGCACUUGGAGGUGUGUCUGUCACCGUACAUCCAUUGCCGGUUCAUCUGCGUGCAUUAUAUAUAAUUAAGUGUGUCAAAAACCAUUACAGAACAUCAUGAAUAGAUAAUUAAGUGACCAAAUUAAUAUAAGUUCAUCAUCAUAUUAAAACCAAAGUACAUACAUAGUUCUCGUUGAACAACAUAUAGCUCUCCAGAGCAUCUAAUUAAUUAAACCAUACAUUGAAACUAUGUAAAACAUUUCAAUGCGAAAACAAAUGCAAUCAUAAUCGCAACCAAGGUAACAAUUGAUCCAACGACAUAAUGAUACCAAGCCUCGGUAUGAAUGGCAUAUUUUCUAACCUUUCUAAUAUUCAAGCGCAUUGCAUCCAUCUUGAUCUUGUGAUCAUCGACGACAUCCGCAACAGGAAACUCCAAUAUCAUCUUCUCCUCCUCAAUUUUUUUUAUUUAUUCCUUCAAGAAAUUGUUUUCUUCUUCAACUAAAUUUAACCUCUCGACAAUAGGGUCGGUUGGAAUUUCUGGUUCACAUACCUCCUAGAUAAAUAAAAUCUAUGUCACGUUGGUCGGCAUAAUUGUCAUAAUCAAUAAAUGAACCAAAUAGUUAUAAAGAUAAUAUAUACCACAUCCGAAUCAUAGACAGGAUGAGGGCCGAUGGGGGCGGAUACCAAAACCAUCGCACUAAAUAAGAAGAAGAAAUAAUAAAAGUAAGAAAAUUAUACAAGUAUCAAUCUAAACAUACAAGUAAGAAUUUUUUUCCUUUCAGAAAGAACAAGAGGCUCACAACGGUGGUGCCGGCGACGAGAUCGGCGCGGGCGAUCAACGACGGUGAAGACGGGGAUGGGACGUGACGGACCGCUAAACCUAGACAAAUAUUGAGGAAAAUGGAUCUUGGAGGUCGAGCUUGGAGAGGAGAAAGCUUAAGUAGUGUUGCUCGUGCAUUCCAUCGAACACCUCAUGUGCAUAGGAGGUGAGCUAGAGCACCACAAAACCCUCCCCUCAAUGGCCAGAAAAAACAGAGCACUCCACUGCUAUGCUCGGGGCGAGGGGUAUAUAUAGGCAUCUCAUUGUCCCGGUUCGUGGCUGGAACCGGGACUAAAGGGAAACCUUUGGUCCCAGUUGAAGACACCAUCUGGGACCAAUGGUGGUGGGCCAGGAGCGAGGCCCAUUGGUCCCGGUUCGUCCCACCAACCGGGACCAAAGGGCCCAGACGAACCGGGACCAAUGCCCCCACGAGGCCCGGCAGGCCCCCUGGACUCAUGAACCGGGACCAAUGCCCCCAUGGGUCCCGGUUGGUGACUGAACCGGGACUAAAGGGCUUAUGUGGCCUGAAUGUAUGACAUGUUUUCUACUAGUGAAGUCAUCAAGAGAGUAGUAGCAACGAAACUAUAAUGAUCAUAAUGCUAAGCUUACGGAUGGGUCAUGUCCAUCACAUCAUUCUCCUAAUGAUGUGAUCCCGUUCAUCAAAUGACAACACAUAUCUAUGGUUAGGAAACAUAACCAUUUUGGUUUAACGAGCUAGUCUAGUAGAGGCAUACUAAAGACAAUAUGUUUUGUCUAUGUAUUCACACAUGUACUAAGUUUCAGGUUAAUACAAUUCUAGCAUGAAUAAUAAACAUUUAUCAUGAAAUGAGGAAAUAAAUAAUAACUUUAUUAUUGCCUCUAGGGCAUAUUUCCUUCAUUAGUAGCGGCUCCCAAGCGGUAAAGUAAAGAUUAUUGCUCCAUAGGAGUUUUUGUUUGAUUAUUUAUAAGUUCCUUUUGCAAUUUGGGACUUUGAAUCCCUAUUACCACCCCUUUUCUUAUGCAAUGGUGAAUGAAUAAACACUCAUCCUGAGAUUAACUCGCUUAGCAUAGAAGAUACCAACUACCUCUUGUCGCUCUAUGAACAAUCCAGGAACACAAAAAGGAUAUUUAUUUGAAGUUUUUAGAGGUGGCACAUGCAAAUUUACUUCGGACGGAAGGGUAAUACCGCAUAUAGGUAGGUAUGGUGGACUCAUCUAGAAUAACUUGGGUUUCAAGUUUUCGAUGUACAAGUAGAAUUCCCACUUAGUAUAGGCGAAGCCUAGCAAAUAGGUUGAUAAACGGACAACUAGAGAGCAAUAACGGUCAUGAACAUGCAUUAUGCAUAAGUAACAUUGGAUACUAGCAUGAGUAGGAUAUGAACACCAUGAACAUAAAUAUCAUAGAGGCUAUGUUGGUUUUGAUUCAACUACAUGCAUGAACAUGUGCCAAGUCAAGCCACUCGAACAUUCAGAGGAGGAUACCAUAUCAUCAUACUACAUCACAAUCAUUUUAACGCAAUGUUGACAUCCAAGAUAAAUCAUUAUCCACUCCUAGCUACUUAUGCAUGGCAUGAGAAACUAUAACAUCUAAUUGUCAUUGCAAAAAUGUUUGAUCAUAAUAGGUUGAAUCAUGGAUACUAGGUUAAACAUAUUUACAAAAACAGAACAAGUCGAGUUCAUACCCAUUUCUGUCUGCCACGGCCAGUUCAUCGAAUAUCGUCAUUAUUUCCUUUCACUUGCACGACCAAACGAUUUGAAAAUAAUAAUAGUGCAAGAGUGCCAUGGACUAAGCUAGAAUCUGCAAGCAUUUUAUUCAAAAGGAGAAGACAAUGUAAUAUGGUCUCUUGUUAGACCAACAAUAAUUCAAAUGAGAGCCACUCAAUAUUUUCAUCGGGGUCUUCUCCUCGGUAAGACUCAAUAAAAAUAAAAGAGAUUCAGAGAAACACACUGAAAUAUUUUGGAGUUUUUGGUUUUUCAUAAACAACCAAAUAAAAAGGGCAAAGCACAAACGACAAAAAGUAUGCACACGGGAAAGCUCCCAACAAGCAAAAGAAGAACAAGAAAAUCUUUUUGAGUUUUAUUUUUAGAUACUAUAACUACUAGUCUAGAAAGAAAAAUCAAAAAGAAGCAAGAGAUAUGUUUUUGGAUUUUCUCAAAGUUUUUCAAACACACAAGAAGAAAGCGAGAAAAUAAAUUUAACAUGGAUAAUACAAUGAAAAAGUGUGAACACCGACAACUGGAAUGAAAUGUGUGAACAUGAAUGUAAUGUCGGUCGAAAUACGUACUCCCCCAAGCUUAGGCUUUUGGCCUAACUUGGUAAUCAAUCAGUACCCUGUGUAAUGGUUGGAGUGGUAGCUCACGGAGGCUCUCGGUGCGGAUGCCUCAGCCCGUCGUGCAGCCACAACCGUUGCGUUAUGAGCUCAGGCCUCGCUCUCAAGAACAUAAUAUCUUCCUGUGUUGUGAACAUUAAAGAGAGCAGGUGCAAGCAAAUAUGUGUCCACCACGGAGUCCAUAUUAAACAGCAAUUUAUAAGUGAAAUUAUGGGGACCACCUCUACAGAUCUUACGACAUUUCAUAACAUCAAAGUCUAGGUAUUGCGUGGGUAAAAUAGGAUCUUAGGGCAAAGUUGAAACACCCAGCUCUCUUGCUAAGUGUGUGGCAUAAAUUCCACCAUAAAAAUAACCACUACCGGUGUUGUCUUGCAAUAUGCGUGCAACAAUUUCUCGUAGAUUAUAACUUUUCUCACCGCUGAGAGUGGUGCGUAUGAGGCUCAAGUAUGGAGCACAAAGUGUACUACAAUCUUGUUUAUACAAUAUAUUUUCCAUUAAAUAAUGCGAAGUACUGGAUUGCGGGAAAAUGAAUGCUCUUUAUUCUACCUUGCGUCACUCCCUUAGUCUCACCAUAACAAAGACUAGUCAAGAAUAUCUCAAACUCAGACCUUGGCAGUUCAUCGAGCAAACCCCAGAAUGGGAUUUUUGUAGUGGUGACCUAAUCUUUCUAAAGAUAUGGUAAAUGGAUUUUCAUAUAGUUUAAAUGACACCCUAGACUCACGGGGAUGGAACUUAAAUCCUAUGAAAAAUGAUUCAGUGAGAGUGAGAUGUUGGUUGCACUUAUCUAAAAUGUAGGGACCGAGAUCGACAUUGUGAACAUAUUGCUCAAAUUCCUCCUUAAUGUCCACACUCACCAUAUAAUCGUUGCAUGGCCAUAAGCAUGUGUUAGUGGCGGCAUCUCGAAUGGAACUUUCACUCAGUUCACAUAAGACCGACGAGCGGAGCUGCUACUAGAGGGUGCCUUCGAGGAUCUCCUCCUCGAAGAACUUCUUCCAAAAAGGUUCAUCAUAUUCGCGACAAUUUUCUUAAAAUUUUGGGUCACAAUUUUUUAUCAACAUAACUUUACAAAAAUGAUAGCAACUACUCAUAGGGAUGUAUAGAGGCCAAAGCAAGCAUUCAAACUACCUAGAACUCUAAGAAUUCGACAUGGAAGCUCAUCUACAGUAGCACCAAGAGUAGGUAAUUAUUCAAAAUAUAAACCACUAAAGGAAAAACUAAUUGGACACAUGGAGGAGUCACAUACAAAGCAACAAUUCCCCGAAACAGUUUCAGAAACGGAGCUUCGAGCAAAGAGAUCGAAAUCCGCAGUUUCGGGAGCAAGAACACGAGAGAGCAAUGGUCGUUUUUUCUGGAGGUAGGUUAUGAUAUCAGAUGAAGAGAUAAGUGAGGGGGCCCACAUGGGGACCACAACCCACCAGGGCGCGCCUGGGGGUCCUGGCGCGUCCAGGUGGGUUGUGCCCACCUGGUGCUCCUCCCUCUGGUAUUAUUUGCACCAUAAAUUCUUAAAUAUUCAGGAAAAAAAUUGUAUUAAAUUUUCAGAGCAUUUUGAGAAGUUUUGUUUUUGAGUCAUUUUUUAUUGCAUGGAAAACUCAGAAAACAGACAAAGCAUGACAUUUUAUUUUAUUUAACUAAGAAAAACAAAAAAUAAAAGGUAGGGAUAGAAGGUAGUACUCACUAAAUUCAUCAACUUCAUACCUUUAAAAAAUGAUCCAUUAAUAAGGUUGAUCAAGUCUUAUUAACAACAACUUUCGAUUGGCAUGAAACCGAAGAACUUUCAUGAAUCACUAGGUUACCUCAACAGGGAUUCAUACGUCUCCAACGUAUCUAUAAUUUUUUAUUGUUCCAUGCUAUUAUAUUAUCUGUUUUGGAUGUUUAUAGGCAUUUAUAUGCUAUUUUAUAUUAUUUUUGGGACUAACCUAUUAACCGAGGGCCUAGUGCCAGUUCCUGUUUUUUUCCAAUUUUAGAGUUUUGCAGAAAAGGAAUACCAAACGGAGUUCAAACGGAAUGAAACCUCCACGAUGAUCUUUCUUGGACCGAAAGCAAACCAGAAGACUUGGAGAUGAAGUCGGAGACGCAAUGAGGCGGCCACGAGUCAGGAGAGCGCGCCCAGGGGGUAGGGCAUGCCCCUACCUCGUGGGCCCCUCGUAGCUCCCCUGACCUAGUUCCUUCACCUAUAUAUGCUCUUAUACCCUGAAAACAUCCAGGAGAGCCAUGAAACCACUUUUCCACCACCGCAAUCUUCUGUACCCGUGAGAUCCCAUCUUGGGACCUUUUCCGGCGUCCUGCCGGAGGGGGAUUCUAUCAUGGAGGGCUUCUACAUCAGCACCAUUACCUAUCCAAUGAAGCGUGAGUAGUUUACCACAGACCUUCGGGCCCAUAGUUAUUAGCUAGAUGGCUUCUUCUCUCUCUUUGAUUCUCAAUACCAUGUUCUCCUCGAUGUUCUUCGAGAUCUAUUCGAUGUAAUAUUCUUUUGCGGUGUGUUUGCCGAGAUCCGAUGAAUUGUGGAUUUAUGAUCAGAUUAUCUAUGAAUAUUAUUUGGUUCUUCUCUGAAUUCUUAUAUGCAUGAUUUGAUAUCUUUGCAAGUCUCUUCGAAUUAUCGGUUUAGUUUGGCCUGCUAGAUUGGUUUUUCUUGCAAUGGGAGAAGUGCUUAGCUUUGGUUUCAAUCUUGCGGUGUCCUUUCCCAGUGACAGUAGGGGCAGCAAGGCACAUAUAACGUAUUGUAUUGUUGCCAUCGAGGAUAAAAAGAUGGGGUUUUCAUCAUAUUUUUUUUUUGAACUGAGGUUUUCAUCAUAUUGCUUGAGUUAAUUCCUCUACACCAUGUCAUCUUACUUAAUGCAUUGCUCCGUUCUUAUGAACUUAAUACUCUAGAUGCAUGUUGGAUAGCGGUCGAUGUGUGGAGUAAUAGUAGUAGAUGCAGGCAGGAGUCGGUCUACUUGACAUGGAUGUGAUGCCUAUGUUCCUGAUCAUUGCCUUAGAUAUUAUCAUAACUAUGCGCUUUUCUAUCAAUUGCUCGGUAGUAAUUCGUUCACCCACCAUAAUAUUUGCUAUCUUGAGAGAAGCCACUAGUGAAACCUAUGGCCCCCCGGGUCUCCUUUCCCAUUAUAUUGAAUCUAUUUUACAUCUUACUAGUUUCCGAUCUACUAUUUUGCAAUCUUUUACUUUCCGAUCUAUAAACCAAAAAAUACCAAAAUAUUUACUUUACCCUUUAUCUAUCUCUAUCAGAUCUCACUUUUGAAGUGACCGUGAAGAGAUUGACAACCCCUUUAUCGUGUUGGGUGCAAGUUGUUGAUUGUUUGUGCAGGUACUCGGUGACUUGUGUGUUGUAUCCUACUGGAUUGAUACCUUGGUUCUCAAAACUGAGGGAAAUACUUAGGCUACUUUGCUGCAUCACCCUUUCCUCUUCAAGGGAAAAUCAACGCAAGCUCACGAGGUAGCAAGAAGUAUUUUUGGCGCCGUUGCCGAGGAGGUUUACGCCAAUUCAAGUCAAGAUUUGAUCUCCCGUCAACUUGCCAAUUUCUGGCGCCGUUGCUGGGGAGAUCUACGUCAAGUCAAGCCAUACCAAGUACCCAUCAUAAACUCUUCUCCCUUGCAUUACAUUAUUCGCCAUUCGCCUCUCGUUUUCCUCUCACCCACUUAUAAAAUGAUUUUCAAAAAUAUUUGCCUUUUCUUCGCCCUUCUUCUGUUCAAUAUUUUGUUCUCUUGUGUUACCAUGUGCCUUAUUUUUGCUUGCAUCUUCGCUUUCUAAAAGUUUAUGGAUCCUCAUCCACUUGCUAAUCUUUUUAACAGAUCCAAUUAUGUUGAACCAAUUUCUAGUGAUUUGUGUGCACUAUAUUAUGUUUAUGAAGAAACACUACAGGAAAUACGUCAACUUGUGACCUUCUGUCAGUGACCCUGGAAGAAUUCACUAGUAGAAAACGGAGCUAUAUUACCAGUUCGUAGGGGCCUUUAGUGCCGGUUCUGCAACCGACACUAAAGUGUGGUGACUAAAGCCCCCCCCCUUUAGUCCCGGUUCAGCAUGACCGGCACUAAAGGGCCACCACAUGGCACGAGGCACGCCGUGGUCUGGGGGACCUUUAGUCCCGGUUGGUAACACCAAGCGGGACUAAAGGAUUUUUUAAUUUUUUUGAAAUAAAACAAAAACUGCCCACCUACUGGGCCGACACGGCCUGCAUACGACUAGAAACCCAACCUCUAGUUGGGCCAGGAUGCAGGCCCGUAUGGCCCAGUAGGGCCCAUAGGGCAGAAUACUUGCAAUAGGCCCACAAAGGCCUGCUUAGAGAGGAGCUCGACACGGUAGCCGCGGCGGGGCUUAUAAACCGUGCGAGCUCCUCUCAACCAGCCAGGUGGGACUAAACAUUGUGCAUUGCGGGUGGCAGCGCACCCCUUUAGUACCGGUUGGUGGCACGAACCCGUACUAAAGGGGGGGUCUUUAGUACCGGUUGGAGCCACCAACCGUACUACAGGCCACCACCUCUUUAGUAUCGGUUCGUGGCACAAACCGGUACUAAAGGUUCGCCAUGAACCGGUACUAAUGAGUGCCGCCCGCCUAGCCAUUGGAACCGGCACUAAUGGUCACAUUAAUGCCGGUUCAAUUACAAACCGGUACUAAUGAGCUUCACAUUAGGUCCUUUUUCUACUAGUGAUUGGUCAUAAAUUUAUGACCAUUCUAGACCAAUUGGUCAAAAGCUGUUCGGGGGGCUGCAAACCCUAAACCAUAACGACCACUUUGGUCAGAAAGGUCGUAAUUUCAUUAGAGGAAAUGGUCGUAAAGCUGGCAGCAUUGUCCACUGCCUCACAUCUAGCUGAUAAUGACCAAUAAAAAAGGUAACUACACUUGAGUUCGAAUGCAUUAGGAUGAUUAGGCGGCCACCUCAGCAACCUUGCUUAUGUGUCAUUGUCUAGGUGUCAUUUUUUGCUUAAAUGUUUAUUUUCAACAGACAGGCGGGGCCCACUUGACAGCAGAUGGGCACACACUGACUGGCGGGGCCAAUUUGACACGCGGGGCCGAGCACUUAAUUCGCCCAAAAAUGAUGCGCGAGGCGGGACUCAAACCCACGACCUCGCGCUUCGCUUGCUCGUUCGCUACCACUGGGCUAGAGAGGGACAAUUGCACAUGUAUGGGAAUUUAUCUAUACAUUAUAUAAAACUACGGCUCUCUCAUAUCAUUGACAAGUCUCGUAUCAUUGACAAGUGGGACCUUCCGACCAGGUGGUAACGAACAGAGCAACACUUACUGUUUUUCUAGGUCUUCCGAUCAGGUGGCGGCAGGUGACGGCAGAGGCGACAACGGGGGCGGGGGCCGGCAGCAGAAGCAACCGGCAGGGGCUGGGGCGGCGACCGGCGGUGGUGUUGCCGGCGCCGCUCACCUCGACCACGACAGGAAUGGCGACCUCGCCGCUUGCCUCACCCACGACAGGAACGGCGACCUCGCCGCUCACCUCACCCACGCAUGGGGGACUCGCCGUCGCCGAGCAUGGGAGAGUCACCACCGCCGCAGGUAGACCUCACACGUAUGCACGCCUCUCCUUCCCCCCCCUCUCCUCUCCCCCUCCUCUCUAUUGAUGUUGAUGAUUUGAUGUAGAUUUUUUAGGAGAAUCUCCACACACAUACACUGAUUUGAUGUAGGUUUGUUGUAAGCUUGGAAAAAUCUCUUGGAAAAGUCAUUGAUGAAUUCGGUAGAAAUUGUGAAGAGAAUUUCUGUUGAUGAAAUUAUUAGGAGAAUUGUUGUUGAUGAAAUUGUUAAGAAUUCUUUUGGAAUUCUGUCAAUUGUUAGUGGUAAAUUAUGUUGUCAGCAAUCAAUAGAGCAGAGCUCAAGUUGGUCUUUCCCAGAAACAAGAUCCUAGAGUUGAUGUAGAUUUGAUGUUACACCUCUGAAAUUUCAGCCUCAAAUCUGUUAAAGAACCUGAAUGUUGAUGUAGAUUAGAUGUAAACUAAGAAAAAUCUGAUUGAUGUAGAUUUGAUGCAAUCUUGGAAAUGGCACUCAUGUAAAUUUACAGUGCUGUUAUUGUUGGUGGUUUAACCAAAAUAGUUCUUAGUGGCAGCAUAUAUUGUUAUUGUUGGUGGUUUAACGACCUCUGUUUUUUUGUGAACCAGCAUGUUUUAGUUAGCUUUUCUUUUCUCCCAUGUGAAAUCCGUAUUUACAUUUGAACUAAUUUUUAUUGCUCCCAUGUGAAAUCAGUAAACCAUGUGAACUGGAGUAUAGUAGUGAGAAAUUGGAAAUAGCUGAAUGUUGUGGUUAGGUAGUUAGCAUAUAAAGUUGGGUGCCUACCUUAUUUUCUGGAUUUUUAGCUACCAUUACUGCCAUCCGUUUUCUUUAAUUAACGUUGAUGCACUUAGAUUGAUUUGCCAAGUUGCAACAAUUUGUUGUCUUUGGCACAGGGACAGAAGCUGGAUUAGAAAAGGACUUAGAAAGUUUUCGACAGAACAUAUGAAAGGAGUUGAUGAUUUCAUGGCAUUUGUUCGGGAAAAUUUUGCCAACGAUGCUCACAUUCUUUGCCCAGUUUGCGAAUGACUCAACCGUUCAAGAAUGGCUCAAGGAAGAGUGGAAGAUCAUCUACUUCUUAAUGGAAUGUCGAGGACAUAUGCUAGAUGGAUAUAUCAUGGAGAACCUUUAGACUGACAACCUCAACAUUUUGAAGCUGAUACAGAGGCCCCUCAUAUGAUGGGUGGUGGUGAUGCUGGCAUUGAUUUCUUGGAAAAGGUUUUGUGAGAUAAUGCUAGUUUGGAGGAAGAGGGUGGGCAUGAACAUGAUAGGAUUCCUGACCUAUUAAAGGAUCUAUACGAUGCUGAAGAUCAUGCUGAUGGGCAGAAGUCGAUGUUUGCUGAGGUGUUAGAGGAGGCGAAGCGCACAACUCAUGAAGGGGGUAAAUUUUCAAGAUUUACCUUCACUGUGAAGUUACUCCACAUCAAGUCUUUCUACCAGAUUAGCUAUGCUGCAUUCAAUGCAAUACUCCGCCUUUUGAGCUUGCAAUUCCCUGAUAGCUGUGUUCCCAGGUCUUAUGAUCAAGCAUUGAGCAUAAUCCGCAGGCUGGGGCUAGAUUAUGUUUCAAUACAUGUGUGCCCAAAUAACUGUGUCUAGUUUCAGAAGGAUUUAGCAAAGCAUGACAACUGUCCAAAGUGCAAUGCCUCUAGGUGGAAAGAUGCUGAUGGGAAGAAUUCAAUACCAGAGAAGGUACUGAGGCAUUUUCCGUUGAUACCAAGGCUGCAUCGGAUGUUUAUCUCGAAGAAAUCAUCGCUGGAGGUACAAUGGCACAAGCUGAAGCGGCAACCUGUGGACAAUGAGCUGAGCCAUCCAGCGGACGAAUAGGCAUGGAAAGAGUUUGACAGUAAACAUGUAGAUUUUGCUGCAGAUCCAAGGAACAUAAAACUUGGCAUUGCCACAGAUGGAUUUAAUCCAUUUGGGAACAUGAGCACGUCUUAUGGCAUGUGGCCCAUUUUUGUGGUGCCAUACAACCUGCCACCAUGGGCAUGCAUGGAUCAGUCCAACGUCAUGAUGUUGUUGCUUAUCCCGGGUCCAGAGUCUCCAGGAAAGGAUUUUGAUGUCUUUAUGGAGCCCCUCAUAGAAGAACUGCUCCAUCUCUGGACUGGUGUACCUACAUACGAUGCCUUGAGUCUGAAAGAAAAGUUCAAUUUACGUGCCGCAAUCAUAUUGUCCAUCCAUGAUUUCCCGGCGCUGCACACUCUGUCUGGGAGGAUCACAGCGGGUUAUCAGGCCUGUGUCCAUUGUGACAAAGACCCUUUCUCAAAGAGAAUAAGGAUCAAGAUCUGCUAUAUUGGGCACCGCCGCUUUCUUCCCCGAAACCAUCGCUGGCGAAGAAGCAAAGAUUUUAAUGGUGAGAAUGAAACCCGUGACAAGUCGGCUGAAUUCACUAAAGAAGAGCUAGCACAGCAACUUGAAAAGGUGAAAGAUGUGAGACUAGUAAAGCUUGCAAAGAAAAGAAAGCGUGAGGAAGGUCAAUGUUGGGACCAGAGGUCUUGUUUGUGUGACCUGCCAUACUGGGUUGUUCUGAAAUUAAGGCAUAAUCUCGAUGUAAUGCACAUUGAGAAAAACAUAUGCGAGAAUCUGCUAGGGACGUUUCUGAACAUUGAAGGGAAGACAAAGGACACGAUUAGUUCUAGGCUUGAUUUGGAGGACAUUGGCAUAAGAGAAGAUUUGCAUCUACAGCACAAUGAAGAUGAAGAUUCAUUUGAAAAUGCCAUGAGCAUGGUAUACAAUGAGUAAAGAACAAAAGCUUGCAUUUUGUGAAUUCCUAAGAGCGGUGAAAUUUCCAGAUGGUUAUGCUACUAACCUAGCAAAGUGUGUUACUUCUGAUGGAUUCAAGCUUUCAGUACUGAAAACCCAUGAUUGUCACAUCCUCCUCCAAAGCAUUUUACCGGCAGGCCUCUGAGGAAUCAUGGACAAGGAUAUAUAUGAAGCGGUUACUGAGCUGGGAAAUUUCUUUAGAGAACUGUGCCGCAAAACACUCAAGUUAACUAUCCUGGAAAGACUUGAAAAAGAAAUCCCAGUUAUUCUUUGCAAGCUCGAGAAGAUUUUCCCUCCAGCUUUCUUCACCAUGAUGGUCCAUUUGGCGGUGCACUUACCAAAAGAGGCAAUGCUUAGAGGCCCUGUGCAAUACGGUUGGAUGUACCCAAUCAAAAGAAGGUUGCUUACCUGUAAGCGUUAUGUGCGAAACACGGCAAGACCUGAAGGUUCGAUUGCUGAAGCAUAUGUCAUUGACGAGUGCUUGACUUUUUUCUCUAGAUACUUUGGCGAUGUGGAAGCAAGAUGGAACCAGCCGAGCAGAAAUAGAGAGCGGUCUGAUUCGCAAAGUGGAGAUGUCUCUGUUUUCAACCAUGGUGUGAACUUUCUUGGGGUCUCACAAUACUUGGAGGCUUGUGAUGAGUAUGACAAGAUGGUUUGGUAUGUGCUCAGCAAUUGCGCCGAGGUUCUACCAUAUAUCGAGUACGUUAUAUCUUGUGAACUCAUUAUAUAUAAUUUUUUUGCUUGGGUUGGCACCAGCCUAAUGUUUUAAUUCACAUGUUUUGUUGGCAUUGCAGGAAAUGCAAGGAAGAGUUAAAUUAGGAAGAAAGCAAUAUCGAUGUUGAUAAAAGGGUUACCAAGGGGUUUGCUAAGUGGUUUAAGAAUCAUGUGAGAUCUUUAGCCACAUGUUUUAUGUUUUCUGUGUUAUUCACCAACUGUUAAAUACCAUUGUUGCUAAAUGGUUUAUUUGUGCAGAUUGGAAAGUUGCAUGAGAAGAAGAAGGUCAGUGAUGAUAUAUUUGCUUUGGCAUGCUUACCGGAUAAGCGAGUGAGAGUGUAUUCAGCCUGCAUUGCUGACGAUGUCCGGUACCACACUAUUGACCGCGAGGAAAAAGGGAAGACAUGGAAUAGUGGAAUCAUCACUGAGGGGUCACAUGAUCGUGAGAUCAUUGACUUCUAUGGUCAGUUGAGAAGCAUCGUUAGAGUUGCAGUACAACUCUAGUGGAGGCAUCCAUCGCUCGGUUGUCUUAUUUCGUCGCGUCUGGUUUGAGCUUGGUAGCAAGAAGAAGAGAGACUCUUUUGUCAAAUAUGAUUGCCACUUCAAAAGCAUCAACAUUGCAAGGUGCUGCUAUAAGAGUGAUCCCUUUAUUCUAACAACACAAGCAACAAUGGUGUUUUAUUUGCCAGACACUCUCUUGCAUGGAAAAUGGCGAGUUGUGCAAAACUUUGAGCACAGAAACUUGUGGAGUGUGACUGAAACUGAAGUGGAAAAGGGCCCCGGUGGUGGUGGACUAACAUACCAGGAUGAUAACUCUAUGGAAGUUCCGUUGCAAGCUGAUGAUGACUCUAUGGAAGUUCCGAUGCAAAGAAGAGUGCGAAGGGACCGGGAACGUGUGCUCGUUGAUGCUGCAACAGUUGAAGGCAUCAAGAAAAGAAGAAAGGUGGUAGCGGAUGGACAUGAGAGCGAGGAUGAGGAAAAACAAGACUGAUCAUACUAUGCUGCAAUAUUGUAGUGAUGAUGAGGAAAACAGGAGUGGGCAUAGAGUUCCUUGUUUUUGUAUCGACGACAAUGAGUAACGAAGGUAAAUUUUGGCUCCUUGGUGAGCUAAUGCUAUUACUACAUGUUCCUGAUGUAGUUUUUGUACUACAAUUUCUUCAAGUAGCAAAAUGCAUGAGACUGAUGGUUGUAGUGAUGGAGAGGCAGAUGAUGUUUCAGGGAAAAUCAUGUAGUUUUGGUGAUCAUGAUGGCUCUAGUGAUGGAGAGGCAAAAUGCAUAGUGGCUCUAGUGAUGUAGUUUUGGUGCCAUUUUCUUAGUUUUGGUCAGAACUGUUGGUUGUGAUGUGAUCCUGAAGUUGUAAUGCAAAAUGAUGUUGCAAUUAUCCUGAAGUUUUUUUGAACUGAAUUGAAAUGUUGUUUUCAGAGCUAUUUUUCAUACUAUUUUCAGCGAUAGUGAUGUUGGUGCAAAAUAGCGAUGUUGUUUUUGGUUGUGAUGAUGAAGAUGUUGUUGUUGGUACAGUGCAAAAUGAUGUGAUGGAGGGCUGUUGUUUUGGUGCAAAAUGAUGAUGUCUAAAUAUUUUGAACUGAAUAUUUUGCAAAAUGAUGAUGGAGGACUGUUGUUUUGAUACAAUGCAGAUAGUGAUGUUAUUUUUUGUAAUGCUUGAAGAUUGCAAAAUAUUUUUCAUGAAGUUUUUUGAACUGAAUUGAGAUGUUGUUGCUUUAACUGUAUAGAAACUAAAUUAUGUCUGAAUAUAAAAAAAAUUGCGCGAGCAGGGACUUGAACCCACGACUGAGCGCAUGUUUCACCUUGUCCACAACCACUGAGCUAGCAAGAGAAUGUUGAUAAUUUGCCUAGUUAUUUCACUAUAUACUCGAACCCACGAGCUAGCAAAAGAAUAUUGGCACGCUGCAUCAGAUCCGUUUGACCCACGUGCGGCUCCAUCAGAUAGGCGGCCAAAAAAUAAUGCGCGAGCGGGGGCUCAAACUUAUGACCGAGCGCUUAUUUCACUUGCAUUCUACCACUGGGCUAGGAAGAGGAUGUUGGCUGAGUACAGGAACAUUUUACUAUAUCAAAUAGAACUGGCUGACAAGUGGGACCCACUCCCCCUCUCUAUGUCAAAUAGAACCCUAAUCCAAACUGCCUGUCAAUUGCCCGACACUUCUCCUCCCUUCUCCUCCAUCGAUGGUGACGGCGACGACAUCCCCUUCUCCUCCAUCGACGGCGACGGCAUCCCCUUCUCCUACAUCGAUGGUGACGCUCUGCUCCUCUCCCUCCCCACCACCGCCGACACCGGCGCUGGCUCCUUCCUCUCCCGCAGUCGUAUGAAUCCGCCGCUGACUCCUCCUCUCCAUUUGGUUUUCCGCUGCUGUUUAGAUUAGGGUUCGACUCCAUUGAAUUAGGGUUGAACUGGUUGGAUUAGGUUUUGAUUAGGGUUGUUGGAUUAGGUUUUGAUUAGGGUUGGAUUAGGGUUCUUUCCGCCGCUGUUGUUGUGUUGAACUAAGCUGAUUAGGGUAGGAUUAGGGUUGGAUUAGGCUUCUGCUGAAGUCAAGAGGAUAUGGUUCUCCACUGAUGUUCUCCACUGAUGUACUUCUCUCUGAUAUGGGUUGGAUUAGGCUCAGUGUUCAAUUAUAGAUAUAGAUAUAUUCAUUUAUAGAUAUGGGCAGAUAUGCCUUUUAUAGUAGACAUGGGCAAAUAUGGUCCUUUUAUAGUAGCAAUAUUUUUUUCCAUUGAGAUUGAGAUUGAAUAUUUGUGUAGUGGGAUUGAACAUUGAGAUUGUUUUAUGUUUCUUUCAAUAAUUUGUGUGGUUCAUUUUCUGAAGUAAACUGGAGAUGUUAGAAAUUUGAUGGUUGUUGUUCAGAUAUCUCCACUUAUGAACNNNNNNNNNNNNNNNNNNNNNNNNNNNNNNNNNNNNNNNNNNNNNNNNNNNNNNNNNNNNNNNNNNNNNNNNNNNNNNNNNNNNNNNNNNNNNNNNNNNNNNNNNNNNNNNNNNNNNNNNNNNNNNNNNNNNNNNNNNNNNNNNNNNNNNNNNNNNNNNNNNNNNNNNNNNNNNNNNNNNNNNNNNNNNNNNNNNNNNNNNNNNNNNNNNNNNNNNNNNNNNNNNNNNNNNNNNNNNNNNNNNNNNNNNNNNNNNNNNNNNNNNNNNNNNNNNNNNNNNNNUUGAUGGUUUCUAAACAUGUGCCUUAAUACCUUUUCUGUCAUUUGGUGUCCGUGGAUUGAAAUGUUGUUGUUAUAUAUUGAUUGUAGUAUAUUUGUGCCUUAAUACCUUUUCUGUCAUUUUUGCAUGUUAAUUCAGUGUUUGUGUUGAUUUUAUGCCAAAGUUCAGAAACAAUAUUUUGAUGGAUGGGUUUAUGUGUUCUGCAAAUUGAGGCCAUUGCCAUUUAUAGUACAUUUAUAGAUAUGUUCAGAUAUGUUUAUGCCAAUGUUCAGAUAUGGAUGGGUUUGGAUAGGGAUAUUUUCUGUCAUUUAUGCCAAUGUUUAGAUAUGUUAAUUAAUAGAUAUGGAACAAUGUCCAGUCCUGUUUAUAGUUGUGUCAUGUUUAUAGCUUUUGGUCCAUUUAUAGUAGAUAUGGUUCAAGUUGUGUUCUGGUCCAUUUAUAGUAGAUUUUAGUGUUGGUGGUGGUGGUGAUCACCUGAUGAUGUUGCUUUUGCUGUUGUUAUUCUUGUUGGCCCUGGCAAACACAUGUAGUAAAUAUUCUACUUUUUUGAAGUGCUUGUUUCCUAUUUAUGUCCAGUCAUGUUUAUGGUAACUUGAUGCUUAAUUACAAUGUUGUUUUUCAGAGAAGUGAGAUGGCUGGCUUGAAAGGUUUCGAGUUCUUCGAGAUCGUAACUGAGAAAUCUUGAAGUAGGCAGGUAUAUUCAAGACAAUAUCUCCCCUUCACCCAUCUCUUUAUCAUCACUCUGCUUCUACUUCUUGAUUAGCACAAUUAACCACUGCUUGACCCUCGUUGCAGAGGCUGCCUAACAAGUUUGCGAAGAUGCUCGCCGGCCAUGAGCCCCACAAAGUGAAGCUAUGGGAGGCCGGCAGCGGGUGUCGCAGGCUGUGGGACAUGUCGGUGGUGUUCGACGGCGAAGGCCACAUGUACCUAGGGCCCGGCUGGGAGCAUUUUGCCCGUGCCCAUGACCUGAAGCUCGGGCACUUCCUUGUCUUCCGCUAUGAUGGUGACACCCUGUUCACCGUGAAUAUGUUCGACAACACCAUGUGCCGCAUGUACUACAAGCACGACGAUGAUGCCAGUAAGCUAUCUGCCUCUCUUCUUCCUGUCCUUUUGGCUUCCUCUACAAGCACGACGACAACACCAUGUUCACACUUUGUUGCAUUUGGCCAGGCAAUGGGAGCAACAGCAGGGAUGACGAGGAGCAGAGUGGGGAUGACGAGGAGCAGAGUGGGGAUGAUGAGGAGCAGAGCGGGGAUGACGAGGAGCAGAGCAGGGAAGAGGAGGAGCAGAGCGGGGAGGUCAGCCUAUUCUAGCUGACGACGACCUUGCUAUGGUGAUGGCUGACAACGAACCUGCUAUGGUGGUGGCAGACGACGACUUUGCUAUGGUGGAUGACGACAACCUCGCGAUUGUGGUGCCUGAUGAUGACCUUGCUAUGGUCAUGCCUGACAAUAACCUCGCGAUGGUGAUGGCGCCGGUGAUCCCACAACUUGGUGACAGGACCAUGCCAAUUGUGGUAGAGGAGUACAUCUGCGUCGGGAUUCGCCACUCUGAGCGCAUCAGGUUGAUGAAGGAGAAGGAGGAGAACAAGUGAAGAUGUUAAGAAAUGAAGUGGCAAUGUUAAGCAUGUUAGGUUUAAGAUUGUUAGUGUAAUCUGAACAUGUCAAUGUUAAGUAUGUCAGGUUUAAGCUUGUUAGUGCAAACCUCUUAAGUAUGACAGUGUCAGCCAAGCUUAGUUUGAAUUGAUGAGAAUUGAAAUUUUGUGCAUGCUCAAGUAUGACAGUGUCAUCUAAACAUGUCAGUUUAUUAAUUAUGAAUAUUUGGUUUGGUAAUUGAUGGGAAUUGGAAUUUUUUGUGCAUGCCCAUGGAUGAAAGAUAAAAUUAUGGUUUUUUUGCAUGCUCAUGUAUGAAACAAUAUAAGUUUCAUUUUGUGAUUGUUAAAAACAUGGUUUUUCGUGAGGCGGCUACAAGGAUGGUCACCCCAAACGGCGCCAUUCCAUGUCACGGAAUGGCUUGCCCUAGCAACCGGCAAAGGUAAAAACCGGAUUUCAUCACAGAACCAACAACAGAUUUGCAUGACUCAAACCCUAGCCACGGACGGCCGCCGCGACGAAAUCGGCCGGUUUUUUGGAAACACCAUAAGAAAUGAGAGACCCCCGUGUCACAUCCUCAAAUGUGGCCUACCAACUAGCAAAAAUACUAAACUUGGAAUACCGAUGUUUUCUUGAAAAGGUGUUCUAAAAAACGACCUACCAUGAACGAAGAUUCAUGGCUUUCAACCCAAACUAGCAAUGAUAUGGCCACAUUCAUUGAAUAGUUUAUGAUAAUAUGCCCAAAUUUGGCUCAUGCCUCCGUCUUACGGUGGCAUACAAUGUUGCCAAAGCUAGGUUCCAACUUGUUUCACAAAAAACCGUUUUUCAUUUUUUUAAUGCUAAAAACAUGCAUUUUUCGUGAAGCGGCUACAAGGAGGGGCUCCCCAAAUGGCGCCAUUCCAUGACUAUCUCAAAGUAGACCCUAUUUUACGGACGGUCGCCAAAAAUCAUGCACUUCUGACCCUCGUAGCUACUCCUGGCCAUUCAGACAACCUUCGGCCGAUUCAGCUGGAACCGGCUGGAAUUUGACCUGCGGGUCCUCCAUAGCUUGCCCGUUAUUUUUGCUAAAAAUCCUUUUUAGCUUCACAGGUAGGCAUUUCAUCACAGAAUCAUCAACAGAUUUGCAUGACUCAAACCCUAGCCACGGACGGCCGCCGCGACGAAAUCGGGUGGUUUUUGAAAACACCGUAAAAAUCAAAAAAGAGUCAAAAAAAGAGAGAUCACCGUCUCACAUCAUCAAAUGUGGCCUACCAACUAGCAAAAAUACUAAACUUGGAAUGCCAAUGUUUUCUUGGCUUUCAAGCCAAAUUAGCAAUGAUAUGGCCACAUUCGUUGAAUAGUUUGUGAUAAUAUGCCCAAAUUUGGCUCAUGCCUCCGUCUUACGAUGGAAAACAAUGUUGCCAAAGCUAGGUUCCAACUAGUUUCACAAAAAAACCGUUUUUCAUUGUUUGAACGCAAAACAUGCAUUUUUUGUGAAGCGGCUACAAGGAGGGUCUCCCCAAACGGCGCCAUUCCAUGACUAUCUCAAAGUAGACCCUAUUUUACGGACGUUCGCCAAAAAUCAUGCAUUUCUAACCCUCGUAGCUACUCCCGGCCAUUCAGACAACGUUCUACCAAUUCAGCCGGAACCGGCUGGAAUUUGAACGGCGAGUCCUCCAUAGCUUGCCCGUUAUUUUCGCUAAAAAUCAUUUUUAGCUUCACAAGUAAGCAUUUCAUCACAGAAUCAACAACAGAUUUGCAUGACUCAAACCCUAGCCACGGAUGGCCGCGGCGACGAAAUCGGGCGGUUUUUUAAAACACCGUAAAAAUUCAAAAAAGAAUCAAAAACAAAUGAGAGACCGCCGCAUCACAUCAUCAAAUGUGGCCUACCAACUAGCAAAAAUACUAAACUUGGAAUACUGAUGUUUCCUAGAGCUAUUUGGUAUGAUUUUAACCAUGAUUUCUACAAAGUUUACAAAAAAACACUAAAUUUUUCUGCCUCCAAGCCUCUAAAAACUGGUGAACAUUUCCCUCCCACCCCACCAAAAUUUCCCUCCUAGCACCAAAUUUUCCGUCCCACCCCACCAAAAUUUCCCACCACUCCUCUCCCACUACCAUGGGGGACCCACCACCCCUAUCCCACUAAACACGCGGGAUCCCACUCCCCUCCCCUCCCACUCCCAAAAAUUUCCCCAUUCCAUUCCCCUCUCUCUCCCCAACGAACCCUAGCUUCUCCCCCCUUCCCUGCUUCGUGCUNNNNNNNNNNNNNNNNNNNNNNNNNNNNNNNNNNNNNNNNNNNNNNNNNNNNNNNNNNNNNNNNNNNNNNNNNNNNNNNNNNNNNNNNNNNNNNNNNNNNNNNNNNNNNNNNNNNNNNNNNNNNNNNNNNNNNNNNNNNNNNNNNNNNNNNNNNNNNNNNNNNNNNNNNNNNNNNNNNNNNNNNNNNNNNNNNNNNNNNNNNNNNNNNNNNNNNNNNNNNNNNNNNNNNNNNNNNNNNNNNNNNNNNNNNNNNNNNNNNNNNNNNNNNNNNNNNNNNNNNNNNNNNNNNNNNNNNNNNNNNNNNNNNNNNNNNNNNNNNNNNNNNNNNNNNNNNNNNNNNNNNNNNNNNNNNNNNNNNNNNNNNNNNNNNNNNNNNNNNNNNNNNNNNNNNNNNNNNNNNNNNNNNNNNNNNNNNNNNNNNACUCCCUCCCCUGCUCCGUGCCGCCCCACCACACCGUUGCGCCACCCCGCCGCACCACGACGUGCUGCCCUCCCCGACGACAAAUCCCCUCUCCUCGAUGGCAUCGCCCGCAUCGACUACGACGGUGGCUACAUCAACGACGGUGGCUACAUCAUCAACAUCAUCGAUGACGGCGUGAUCGACGAUGACCACCGCUGCAUCAUCAACAUCAUCUGCCCCUAGGUACUUCUCCAUCUCCCCUCGAUAUUCAGUGGAUCUAUCUUCCCUCGUCUGGUGGAUCCAUCUCCCCUCCUCUGGUGGUUCGGUGGAUCUUCUAGGGUUAGGAUCUUCUAGGGUUAGGAUCUCGUCGUCCUUGUUCAUGGGAUUAGGGGUCGUGCUUAUUGUUGCAUGGGGAAUUGGGGAUGAUCCCCGUCUGGUUCAUGGGGUUAGGGUUAGGGUUCAUGGGGUCAGGGUUAAGUUUCAUGGGAUUCGUGGGGAUGAACUCCCUCUGGUUCAAGCAGAAGACAUCGGGGUUAGGGUUCUUGUUGCACGCCAUUUCAGUAGAUGUUGUAGGGGUUUGCAUGGUGAUUGAUAAAUCACUGCUGUAUCAGCAGCCCAUCUUGAUUGUUCAAGCAGAAGACUUCUUUAAUGAUGUGCCCAUGAAGCUUGUGUUCUUCUUUCUAGUGAACAAGAGAAUGCUUAGUACUUAUUGUGGCAUUGGAAUUCCUGGUGUGUUAAUUAAGGCAGUAUGAGUAGUUCUAAUAUAUACUAUAUUGGUUUUAGAUAAUUUUGGGUGAUGUAAUAUACAAGGUUGAUUCUAAUUGCCGAAAUGUUUGAACUUGUGUUCUUCUAGUCUGUAGCCAUUUUUGGUGUGUAGAGGCAACAUAAUCAAUAGUUGAGUAUAGUUUUUUCAUCUUCUUUUGUACUUCUGCAAGUAUAGUUGUUUCAUGCUUUACAAGUGGCAACAUCUAGUUGUUUUGAAGGUCCUCAUGAUUUAUUGUUCUAAAUUGCCUGCAUAAGCAUGAUUUCAAGGCCUACUAUUAUUGUUAACACUGCUUGCUUCUUUAUUCAUCAACUAUUGGGUAAUUAGUUGCUCUGAUUGCAUAAGCUUGCCUCCAUUAGGGAAAACAGUUGAGUAAUUCAUUUGCUUAUAGGUGAUUGCAGGUACAUGGAUAAAAUUGCAAGUUAAAACAUAAAAAUAAUUGUUGUAAAUAGUUGUUUUUGCUUAUCCACAUUGUUGAAGUAUAAUUCAUGUGCACUGUAUUUGUAUCCAACUAUAUAUAAUUGUAAUACAUGUGAGUUGUGUUCUUGUCUCUGGUACCACAACCUUAAUUCACUUAGCUUGAUGUAGUUUGCUUCACAUAUAUUACUGCUAAUGCAUUUCUUCACAUAUAUAGUUUGCUUCAAUUCAGUUGCUUGCUAGCGUACAUAGGGUUAGGGUUUGCAUCAGCGGUACUACUAGCACUUUGCUUGCUGGUUGUGUACUUUAUAUGAGGCACUAGGCAGAUUUCUUGAUGUACAUUACUACCUUGUGCUUGAUGUAGUGAAGAUAUUAAGAGAUGCUUCAUAUCUUUCCAGUGUACAUGCAUGCUUGUCUAGUGCAUUUACAUGUUUGCUUAUAAUUAAUAACACUAGAUCACUGUAUUGUUGAUCCAUCAAGUUUGCUUCACAUGUAUUACAUGUAUGUGCAUGAUGGUCCAAAUGCUUUCCUUUAUUGAUACAAGUGCAUCAUUUUACUUUAUCUCUGUUGUAUCUGAUUGUUGUUUAUUCUAUUUUGCAAGCACCACCUCAAGAUCAUCCAUGGCAAGGAGGACAAGGUCAAAUAUGAGGCCAACAGUUGGUAUGCAACUUGCUCCUUGUAGUUAUACUAUCAGUUUUAUAAAAUAUGUGUCUUAAUAUGCUAAGUGAAAUGUAUUGCUGCAAUCUGAAUAAGGUGGCUUAAUUGUGCAUGUGUUCUUUUAGUCUUCCUUACAUGAAUAACUAGGAUUAAAUGAUAAUAGAAUAUCAUAAGAUAUGUUUGGCUGGCUGUCCAUGCAUUCCAAACAUUCACCUAAUAGUUACAUUUCCCUUAUCAUGCAAAGAAGCGCCUAUGACCGAGUAUGAGAAGGUUAGGGCUAGAAAUAUGAUGAGGAACAAUCGGAUGUUCCAGUCCCUUGGCAUCGGUGCAAUAGCAUCAAUGAUUAGGAAAAAAAUGAUGUACAAGAAGGUAGAAGUGAUGAGGUUCAAGAAGGUAGUGGAGUUAUCAAUGAUGACCCCGAGUACAAUCCUAAGGAGGAUGAAGUUAUUGAUGGGGAGGAAGUGGAUGAUGUUGUAGUGCAGAAGAUUGUUAAGGUGCAAACUCUAUCUUGCUUGGAGGGUUGGGGUUCUUGUAUGCUCUGGGUUUCCUUGUGCUCACAUAUUUCUCUUGUGAUCUAAUGCUUUUUUCCGUGCUAUUUAUACGAGGCAUUGAAGGAAUCUAGGCCGAAGAGGCUUGGUGUUAAGAAGACAGUCAACAAGAAGACAGUCAGCAAGAAGAAAAAGAGCUCAGAAACAUCUGCUGCAAUGCCUCCAGGAAGGGUGAUGGCCCCAGCUCCAGGAAAAACAAAGAGGAUCCUGGAACCUGAUGAACCUGCUCCUGAUAGAGUCACAAGGCUGAAAGCAAAGAUGGCGACUGCGACGGACCAUCAGGAAAGUCUGUUGCGCAUGGACUCUGAGACCUCGGUGCAAAUGGGUGAUGAGUUCCUGCCCAUGGAUGAAGAAACCACUGUCCGCAUGGAUGAAAGUGGCACUGUCUGCCUAGAUGAAGGAGGAACUAUCUGCAUAGAUUAAGCGGGCACUGUCCACACAGACCUCAUCCCUGUUGCACCUUCUAUUGACAAGAAUGUUGUCAUCAAUGAAAAGAACAGCGGCUUGUGCUUCAAUCAGGCAAGUUGACCUUUGCAAUGCUCUCUUUUACUAGUGCAUUUUCCAAAUGGAAUGAUCAUGUACGCUUACCUGUUUAGCAGAACCGUUCCUGCAUUUGUCGAUUUCUAUUCUAAUUUAUGAGUUCAAUUUCAUUUUCAGAUGCGACGACUACCAAGACUACACUUAGAAAGGGCAAAUGGCUAGAGAGAAUCACCAAGUCGCUUGGCAGCAAGGUGCCUAUCCAAAUUGCCGAAGGGAUGAAGCGUCCAGAGAAGCCUCUGCAGGCAGCAAAGCUUGCUUUUGAGUGUGGACUCGUUGCAAGAAGUCAUCUGCCGGUUCUUCCUCACUUCAAGCUAUACAAAAAAAUGCUAGUCUAUUGGAGAACUACAUUGGAAAGUUGUUGUAAGCUACUUGCUUCGUAGUUAAUGUGCUAUCUAUUUUCUGUUACACCUAUGCAUGAACCAAUAUUGUUCCUACCUUGUUUGCUGUCUUGGUAGGCAAAUUUGGAGAUGAACACGGACUCGGAGACCAUCAAGACUGCGUGCAAAUAUAUUCUGCAGAAAAAUUCACAGAACAGACACCAUCAGAUCAAGAAGAAGUAUUUUGAUACCGUAGCCGCAAACAAAGUCAGCAUCAAGUCUCCGGUGCCAGAUCUGACGGAUGGUGAAUGGCAAGCUCUAGUGGAGAUGUGGUCUACCCCAACACACAAGGUUUGUCUCUGCUUCGUUUGCUGCUUUAUGUUGUGCACAUGAUAUGCUAGUGCUAGAUCAUGCUAACAGUAUGCUUUUUUGUAGGAAACCUGUGUGUCGAACAAGAUGAAUCGAGAAAAAGUCGUGUACAAUCAGAGAACUGGUUCCAGGCACUACACAACACACAUUUUUGCCACUGUGAGAACUUUUAUUUAGAGACCUUACCGUUUGAUCCUCGUUGAAUAACAUUUUUUAUUCUUGCUGAAUAACAUUUUGAUAUUUGUUGAAAAAUAUUUCAGAAAGAAGAGCACGAUUGACUUGUUUAAGGCCACCCACAAUAGCAAGAAGCACGGGUUUUCGGAGCCAGUCAAGACUGCUAUAGUAAGUCACUCUAUGCUUUGUCCAGCCAGUUCAAACAUUUGUUGUUGUUUGAUUCACAGCUAGCUUUGAUGCUGCUUGAUGCUUUGAUGCUAUUUGAUUUGGAGCCAGUCAAGAACACACACUAUGUUCCAUGCUUUGAUGUUGUUUGAUAGUUCAACAAAGAUAUCAGAACUUGUUGUAGCUAUUUGUUGCAUUUUUAUGAUAUGAUGAAAUUUGAUCUGGAUAAUAUUGUUUGAUGAUCGGCUCACUCGAAAAGCCAUCUUAUAUAGAACCACCAUUCUAGGCUUAAUGAAGCGAUCAUAUUGUUCCAAUUGCAUGUCUCCAAGUCACAUAAGUUACUAGUCAAAUAAUGUUGUCAAGUUACUAGAUUUUGUGUGUUGGUUUGGUUACUUCAAAUAAUACAUUUGUGUGCUGGUUUGGUUUCUCUUGCUUUUUUUGGUUUGCAAAAUGUGAAAUAGAUCUGCCACUAAUGCCUAUCAUUUUCCUCCAUGUGCUAGCUUGAGAUGGAAAAAAUGAAGGACGCGCUGGUACUAGAAGGUGAAGAGCCAAAGUCUGCUGCUGAAAUUGUUGAAGAAGUUCUCAAGACUAAAGUCAAGCAAAGCACAUUCCUCAGAAAUGUUGGGCUCCAAUCAUCUAGGAACAACUCCGGCAAAGCAACUGCUGCUGUGGCUGCUCAUGUUCGUGAUCUUGAGCAGAAGCUGGAGAGGUCGGAGCUUCAAGCUGAAGUGAUGCAAGAAGAAUUGGUGGCAAUCAAGAUGAAGGCGGAAGAAGCUGAAGCUGCACGCGACAAGGAACUUGAGCUGCUGCGCAAGAAGCCUCAAGAGCAGGAUGAGAAGUUAGCUCACUUGAUGGCUCUCUUUGGAGCUAAAGCAGUUUGAUGGCUUUGCAGUUUGUCUUUGAACAUGUCGUAGUAGGUCUUGAACUUAUGUCAUAGUAGGUCGUGAAUUUAUGCAGUUUGUUGCAUUUUGCACUUGGCAAGUGAACCUGGGAGCACUUAUCAACCUAGGAGCACUUGUUGUUGAACAAGUGGUGGUUGUGAAGUUAUGCCAUUUUGGAAGCUGUGAAGUUAUGAACCAGUGAAGUUAUGCAUUUUCUGAAUUAUUUGAGUUUUGUUUGGCUCACAGAAUAUUAUUUGGAUUAAUUGGGCUCUAAACUUAGUUGGACUGUAAAAAGGCCGAGGCCCAAACAAGAAUUAGACUAAAAAGGCUUGGGCCUAAAAAAAGAGUUGACUGUAAAAAAAUAGUUUGUAAAAGGCUGCAUCCCAGAAAAUAAAAGGCCAAGGCCCAAACUAGAACUAGACUAAAAAGGCUGUGGCCCAAAACAAGAGUGGACAAUAAAAAAAGUUCCCAAAAAAGGCUCCAUCCCAGAAAAUAAAAGGAAAAGUAUUGGGCUAGGCCCACACAGAUAAGCAAAAUAAAGAGAAAAAACAUUGGGCUGAAUUAUUGGGCUUGGCCCAUGUAGACGGCUGAAAUGGACCAGGCUGGUUCUAUUUUGCAACCUUUUCAUUUGGUCAUAGUUCUGCCACGUCAGCUUGCCACGGUGGAUCUGACGUGGUGUAGGCAGAUUGCUAGUGAACAAAAUAAUUCGUCGUUGAAUUUACGACCUUUUUUUGUCAUAAACGUCUACGACCAUUCCAGAAGAAAGGUCGUUAAUUUUAGUUUACGACAGUCAGCUUUUGACAAUCAGUUUUUGGUCACAAGAAGGUCACAAAUGGAAAACAAUGACCAUUCAGUGACCAAUAGUGAUGGUCACAAGUUGACGUAUUUCUUGUAGUGAAAUUUAUGAAGAGAUUCAUGAUAGCUUCUUGAAUAAAAAGCAUGAUUGCAAAGAUGUUAUUACAAAUUAUGUUAAUGUCAAUUGUGUUAAUAUUAUGCAAAACCCUAAGCUUGGGGAUGCUAGUUUUGCUAUGUCUACUACUUGUUGCAAUGAUCAUGAUUGGGGUAAUUCUUCUUAUGAUCUUGAAAAUUUAUUUAAGCCCCAUGAUGAAUAUGAGAUUGAUAAUAGUGUUUGCAAUAAUAUUGAAAGUGGGUUUGGAAGAGUGUCAACUUUAGAUCCCACAUACUGGGAGAAUGUUCAAUCUUAUGAUAUUUUUGAUAAAAGUGGGUUUGGAGAGGUCAUGACUUUAGUUAAUGUUAAUCCCAUUAUUUUGGAAGAGUGUCAACUUCGCAUGCAUGUGGAUCGUGUUGAUAGCUAUAUUGUUGAUUUGCUUAUGAUCCUACAUGUAAUUAAUAUGAGAGAGGAAAAUAUGGUUCUAGAAAUUUUUAUGUUACUAAAUUACAUCUAUUCAUGUUGAGAUUGCUAUCGUCUCUUUCUUCUUCCUUGUAUAUGCUAGUUUUUGCUUGCCUUGAUAAUUUGUUUACUUAUAAAAUUCCUAUGCAUAGGAAGUAUGUUAGACUUAAAUGUGUUUGUCACGUGAUUUAUGAUGCUCUCUUUGUGUUCAAAUUAUUAUCUUUCUUGUGAGCAUCAAUAAAAUAUUGUGCCUAGCUAAGGGCGUUAAACGAUAGCGCUUGCUGGGAGGGAACCCAAUUUUAUUUUUGUUCUUUGCUUUUUGCUCCUGUUUAGUAAUAAAUAGUUCAUCUAGCCUCUGGUUAGAUGUAGUUUUAUAUUUUAAUUAGUGUUUGUGUCAAGUAGAACCUUUAGGAUAGCUUACGGUGAUAGUUGUGUUGAUCCUACUGAAAAUCAGAAACUUUUGCGUUUACUAAAUUAGUUUUGAAACUUCCCAGAAACGUGCUUUUGAUCUGAUUCAUUUUUCUCUGGAUUGGUACACAAAUUGCUCAGGUUUUCCUAAUUUGGAUGAAUUUUUGGAGUUACAGAAGUAUUCGAGAGUUACAGAUUACUAUAGAUUGUUCUAUUUUUGACAUAUUCUGUUUUUCGCGUGUUGUUUGCUUAUUUUGAUGAAUCUAUGGAUAGUAUCAGGGGGUAUGAACCAUGGAGAAGUUGGAAUACAGCAGAUAUUACAUCAAUAUUUAUUUUCUUAUACUAACGGAGCUCAUGAGAUUUUCUGUCGAGUUUUGUGUUGUGAAGUUUUCAAGUUUUGGGUGAGGAUUUGAUGGACUAUGGAAUCAGGAGUGGCAAGAGCCUAAGCAUGGGGAUGCCCAAGGCACCACAAGGUAAUAUUCAAGUACAAACAAAAGCCUAAGCUUGGGGAUGCCCCGGAAGGCAUCCCCUCUUUCGUCUUCGUCUAUCGGUAACUUUACUUGAGGCUAUAUUUUUAUUCACCACAUGAUAUGUGUUUUGCUUGGAGCGUCUUGUAUGAUUUGAGUCUUUGCUUUUUAGUUUACCAUAAUCAUCCUUGCUCUACACAACUUUUGGGAGAGACAGGCAUGAAUCAUGAUUUCUUAGAAUACUCUAUGUGCUUCACUUAUAUCUUUUAAGCUAGGCAAUAUCGCUCUAGUGCAUCACUUAUAUCUUUUUAGAGCAUGGUGGUGGAUUUAUUUUAUAGAAAUUGUUGAACUCUCAUGCUUCACUUAUAUCAUUUUGAGAGUCUUUUAGAACAGCAUGGUAAUUUGCUUAAUUAGGUUAUAAAACUAGUCCUAAUAUGAUGGGCAUCCAAAAUCGAUACAAUAAAAACUUUCAUAUAAAGUGCAUUGAAUACUAGGAGAAGUUUGAUUCUUUAUGAUUGUUUUGACAUAUGAAGAUGGUGAUAUUAGAGUCAUGCUAGUGGAGUAAUUGUGAAUUUGAGAGAUACUUUAGUUAAAGUUUGUGAUUCUCGUAGCAUGCACGUAUGGUGAAUCGUUAUGUGAUGAAGUUGGAGAAUGAUUUAUUUAUUUAUUGUCUUCCUUAUGAGUGGAGGUCGGGAUCGCGCGAUGGUUAACUCCUACCAACCCUUCCCCUAGGAGCAUGCAGUAGUACUUUGUUUUGAUGACUUGUAGAUUUUUGCAAUAAGUAUGUGAGUUCUUUAUCACUAAUGUUGAGUCCAUGGAUUAUACGCACUCUAACCCUUCCACCAUUGCUGGUCUCUCUUGUGCCGCGCAACUUUCGCCGGUACCAUACACCUAGUUUUCUCUUUGGCUAGCGACAACAACCCUAGCUUUAGGUUUAGGUCGUCGGUGGUGAGGGGGGUCGCCAGAUCCCGUGCAUGUAGAUUGUUUUAGCUUUAGGUGUUAGAGCUCUGGUAGCUUAGGUUUUUGGAUCAUCCAACGUCUUGGCAGCGACGGCUCUUGAGUAUAUUGUGUAUGUGUAUAUUUGUGUGUAGGGCCCACCUCCUGUUUCCUUUGUAUAGUUGAGGUUGUGGCCCACCUCUGUACUUAUAUAUACGUGUAUGGUGCACCGAUCAAUACAUCGAGAUUGCACAGCCCAUAACUUGUCCUUCUACAUGGUAUCUAUAGCAGCACGAUCCUAAACCCUAAAGCCGUCGCCGCCGCCGCGCCUCCACGCGCCGCCGCUGCGGCCGCUACUCCCCACCACCGCCACCAGCCGCCGCCGCCGCCACCAUCCUCUCGGUCGCUGUCGCCGCUGCUGGUCGCCGCCGCCUCUCUCCACCACCUCGCCCGCUGCUGCCACCUCUUCUUUCCGAGGCCGCCGUCGCCGCUUGCUCCCGCUUCCGCCCACGCUCCCGCACCCUCCCCUCCCACCCGCGACGCAACCCGCACCCUCCCCUCCCAACCGCGCCGCAACCCACACCACCCCGUCUCCCUCCGCCCGCGCCGAGUCCCAAACCCUAACCCUCGCCAUGAGCUCCUCCUUGUCCACCGUCUCAAACCCGUUUGCCGGUCCCGAUGUCACUCUCGUUCAUGACCUCAACAUCCAUGAGCGUGUUCCGGUCAAGCUUGAUCACACCACCGCGUCCUACUCCGCUUGGAAGCGGUAUUUUUCUCUUGUGUUCCGUGAGUACCUCCUACACGGCCACGUGGACGGCACUGUGGACUCGGCACUCAUGAUCAACGACGAGGAGUGGAUGAUCCUCGACGCCACCAUCAUCCGAUGGUUAUACCUCACCAUCUCCAGCGACCUCUUCCACACCGUGGUGGACAACGAGGACGACGCCUAUGUGGUCUGGACCAAGCUCAACGAACUCUUCACCGACAACCGGCUGCAGUGCAAGGUCCUGCUCUACGGUGAGUUUUACGGGUGCCAGCAACUUGACUCAUCCAUCGAUGAUUUUUGCAUGCACCUCAAGAAGCUCGCCGAUGAGCUCCGUGAUCUCGGGGAAAAGAUCGGCGACGAGCUCCUCAUCAGCACCCUCUCCGGCGGCCUCAACAAGGAUUUCGGGAACGCCGCCUCCAAUCUCACCCUCAUCCCGGAGCCCACCUUCGCUAAGGUGGUCGCGUACCUCAAGUUGGAGGAGCGCCGGAUGCGGGUGGCGCGGACUCGCGCGACCCACACCACCCUCGUCGCCGGCACCCGCGGGGGUUCCGCCCCGCCACUGCCACGCCCGACGCUGCCACAGCCGGUGGCGCCCGCCUUCCCGCCGGGCUUCCCGCCCGUCCCGGCUGCCCCCUUCCCUCCACCCCAGCUGACGGCCAAUGGGGGGGUCGUCACGGCGGUUGUCGUGGUGGCCGCAAGCAGGGGGCGCAGGCGCUCAAGGAGGAGCACCCCGCCCACCGCAGCAGGCUUCUCAGUCGACCCCGUGGUACGCCGGCCAGAACCCAUGGACCGGCGUUGUACACGCCUACUCCAUGCCGGUUCCUCGAGCCCCUGCACCGAGCAUUCUCGGCACCCGGCCACAGCCACACCAGGCGUACUACGCCGCGCCACAGCCCUACGCGGCGCCCUACGGUCAGCAGCCGCCGCUGAUACGUCUCCAACGUAUCUAUAAUUUUUUAUUGCUCCAUGCCACUUUAUCUACUGUUUUGGACUAUAUUGGGCUUUAUUUUCCACUUCUAUAUUAUUUUUGGGACUAACCUAUUAACCGGAGGACCAGCCUAGAAUUGCUGUUUUUUGCCUGUUUCAGUGUUUCGAAGAAACGGAAUAUCAAACGGAGUCCAAACGGAAUGGAACCUUCGGGAACGUGAUUUUCUCACCGAACGUGGUCCAGGAGACUUGGACCCUACUCCAAGAAGUGCCAGAGGCGGUCACGAGGGUGGAGGGCGCCCCCCCUGGGCGCGCCCCCCUACCUCGUGGGCCCCCUGUUGCUCCACCGACGUACUCCUUCCUCCUAUAUAUACCUACGUACCCCCGACAGAUCAGAGGGGGAGCCAAAAACCUAAUUCCACCGCUGCAACUUUCUGUAUCCACGAGAUCCCAUCUUGGGGCCUGUUUCGGAGCUACGCCGGAGGGGGCAUCCACCACGGACGGCUUCUACAUCAACACCAUAGCCCCUCCGAUGAAGUGUGAGUAGUUUACUUCAGACCUUCGGGUCCAUAGCUAGUAGCUAGAUGGCUUCUUCUCUCUUUUUGGAUCUCAAUACAAUGUUCUCCCCCUCUCUUGUGGAGAUCUAUUCGAUGUAAUCUUCUUUUUGCGGUGUGUUUGUUGAGACCGAUGAAUUGUGGGUUUAUGAUCCAGUAUUAUCUAUGGAAAAUAUCUGAAUCUUCUCUGAAUUCUUUUAUGUAUAAUUGAGUUAUCUUUGCAUUUCUCUUUGAAUUAUCCUUUUUGGUUCGGCCAACUAGAUUGGUAGUUCUUGCAAUGGGAGAAGUGCUUAGGUUUGGGUUCAAUCUUGCGAUUGUUGGGGAACGUUGCAGAAAAUAAAAAAAUUCCUACGGUUUCACCAAGAUCCAUCUAUGAGUUCAUCUAAGCAACGAGUGAAAGGAGAGAUGCAUCUACAUACCACUUUGUAGAUCGCGAGCGGAAGCGUUCAAAAGAACGGGGUUGAGGUAGUCGUUCUCGUCGUGAUCCUAUCACCGGAGAUCCUAGCGCCGAAUGGACGGCACCUCCGCGUUCAACACACGUACGGUCAGCGUGACGUCUCCUCUGUCUUGAUCCAGCAAGGGGGAAGGAGAGGUUGAUGAUGAUCCAGCAGCAUGACGGCGUGGUGGUGGAUGCAGCAAAACUCUGGCAGGGCUUUGCCAAGCUACUGUGGGAGGAGGACAAGGUGUAGCAGGAGGAGGGAGGCGCCAAUACUUGGGCGCGGAUUCCCUCCCCCUUGCCCUCCUUUAUAUAGGCCCCCAGGGGGGCGCCGGCCCUGGGAGAUGCAAUCUCCCAAGGGGGCGGCGGCCAGGGGGGGUGGAGUGCCCCCCAAGGCAAGUGGUGCGCCCCCCCCCCCCCNNNNNNNNNNNNNNNNNNNNNNNNNNNNNNNNNNNNNNNNNNNNNNNNNNNNNNNNNNNNNNNNNNNNNNNNNNNNNNNNNNNNNNNNNNNNNNNNNNNNCCCCCCACCUAGGGUUUCCAACCCUAGGCGCAUGGGGGGCCCAAGGCGAGCGCACCAGCCCACUAGGGGCUGGUUCCCGUCCCACUUCAGCCCAUGGGGCCCUCCGGGAUAGGUGGCCCCACCCGAUGGACCCCCGGGACCCUUCCGAUGGUCCCGGUACAAUACCGGGUGACCCCGAAACUUUCCCGAUGGCCGAAAUAGCACUUCCUAUAUAGUUUUCUUUACCUCCGGACCAUUCCGGAACUCCUCGUGACGUCCGGGAUCUCAUCUGGGACUCCGAACAACAUUCGGUUUGCUGCAUACUCAUAUUCAUACAACCCUAGCGUCACCGAACCUUAAGUGUGUAGACCCUACGGGUUCGGGAGACAUGCAGACAUGACCGAGACAGCUCUCCGGUCAAUAACCAACAGCGGGAUCUGGAUACCCAUGUUAGCUCCCACAUACUCCUCGAUGAUCUCAUCGGAUGAACCACGAUGUCGAGGGUUCAAGCAACCCCGUAUACUAUUCCCUUUGUCAGACGGUAUGUUACUUGCCCGAGACUCGAUCGUCGGUAUCCCAAUACCUAGUUUAGUCUCGUUACCGGCAAGUCACUUUACUCGUACCGUAAUGCAUGAUCCCGUGACCAGACACUUGGUCACUUUGAGCUCAUUAUGAUAAUGCACUACCGAGUGGGCCCAGUGAUACCUCUCCGUAACACGGAGUGACAAAUUCCAGUCUCGAUCCGUGUCAACCCAACAGACACUUUCAGAGAUACCUGUAGUGCACCUUUAUAGUCACCCAGUUACGUUGUGACGUUUGGUACACCCAAACCACUCCUACGGUAUCCGGGAGUUACACGAUCUCAUGGUCUAAGGAAGAGAUACUUGACAUUGGAAAAGCUCUAGCAAAACGAACUACACGAUCUUGUGCUAUGCUUAGGAAUGGGUCUUGUCCAUCACAUCAUUCUCCUAAUGAUGUGAUCCCGUUGUCAACGACAUCUAAUGUCCAUAGUCAGGAAACCGUGACUAUCUGUUGACCAACGAGCUAGUCAACUAGAGGCUUACUAGGGACGUAUUGUGGUCUAUGUAUUCACACGUGUAUUACGAUUUCUGGAUAAUACAAUUAUAGCAUGAAUAAAAGACAAUUAUCAUGAACAAGGAAAUAUAAUAAUAAUCCUUUUAUUAUUGCCUCUAGGGCAUAUUUCCAACAGUCUCCCACUUGCAUUAGAGUCAAUAAUCUAGUUACAUUGUGAUGAAUCGAACACCCAUAGAGUUCUGGUGUUGAUCAUGUUUUGCUCGCGAGAGAGGUUUAGUCAACGGAUCUGCGACAUUCAGAUCCGUAUGUACUUUACAAAUAUCUAUGUCUCCAUCUUGAACAUUUUCACGGAUGGAGUUGAAGCGACACUUGAUGUGCCUGGUCUUCUUGUGAAACCUGGGCUCCUUGGCAAGGGCAAUAGCUCCAGUGUUGUCACAUAAGAGUUUGAUCGGCCCCGACGCAUUGGGUAUGACUCCUAGGUCGGUGAUGAACUCCUUCACCCAAAUUGCUUCAUGCACUGCCUCCGAGGCUGCCAUGUACUCCGCUUCACAUGUAGAUCCCGCCACGACGCUCUGCUUGCAGCUGCACCAGCUUACUGCUCCACCAUUCAACAUAUACACGUAUCCGGUUUGUGACUUAGAGUCAUCCAGAUAUGUGUCGAAGCUAGCAUUGACGUAACCCUUUACGACGAGCUCUUCGUCACCUCCAUAAACGAGAAACAUGUCCUUUGUCCUUUUUAGGUACUUCAGGAUAUUCUUGACCGCUGUCCAGUGUUCCUUGCCGGGAUUACUUUGUUACCUUCCUACCAAACUUACAGCAAGGUUUACAUCAGGUCUGGUACACAGCAUGGCAUACAUAAUAGAUCCUAUGGCUGAGGCAUAGGCGAUGAUGCUCAUCUCUUCUUUAUCUUUUGCCGUGGUCGGGCAUUGAGCCGAGCUCAAUCUCACACCUUGCAGUACAGGCAAGAACCCUUUCUUGGACUGAUCCAUUUUGAACUUCUUCAAAAUCUUAUCAAGGUAUGUGCUUUGUGAAAGACCUAUGAGGCGUCUCGAUCUAUCCCUAUAGAUCUUGAUGCCUAAUAUGUAAGCAGCUUCUCCAAGGUCCUUCAUUGAAAAACACUUAUUCCAGUAGGCCUUAAUGAUGUCCAAGAAUUCUAUAUCAUUUCCCAUCAAAAGUAUGUCAUCUACAUAUAAUAUGAGAAAUGCUACAGAGCUCCCACUCACUUUCUUGUAAACGCAGGCUUCUCCAUAAGUCUGCAUAAACCCAAACGCUUUGAUCAUCUCAUCAAAGCGAAUGUUCCAACUCCGAGAUGCUUGCACCAGCCCAUAAAUGGAUCGCUGGAGCUUGCAUACUUUGUUAGCAUUCUUAGGAUCGACAAAACCCUCCGGCUGCAUCAUAUACAGUUCUUCCUUAAGAUGCCCGUUAAGGAAUGCCGUUUUGACGUCCAUCUGCCAUAUCUCAUAAUCAUAGUAUGCGGCAAUUGCUAACAUGAUUUGGACGGACUUCAGCUUUGCUACGGGAGAGAAAGUCUCAUCGUAGUCAACCCCUUGAACUUGUCGAUAACCCUUAGCGACAAUCGAGCUUUAUAGAUGGUAAUAUUACCAUCCGCGUCCGUCUUCUUCUUAAAGAUCCAUUUGUUUUCUAUCGCUCGCCGAUCAUCGGGCAAGUCUGUCAAAGUCCAUACUUUGUUUUCAUACAUGGAUUCUAUCUCAGAUUGCAUGGCUUCUAGCCAUUUGUUGGAAUCUGGGCCCGCCAUCGCUUCUUCAUAGUUCAAAGGUUCACCGUUGUCUAACAACAUGAUUUCCAGGACAGGGUUGCCAUACCACUCUGGUGUGGAACGUGUCCUUGUGGACCUACGAAGUUCAGUAGUAACUUGAUCAGAAGUACCUUGAUCAUCAUCAUUAAUUUCCUCUCCAGUCGGUGUAGGCACCACAGGAACGUUUUCCUGAGCUGCACUACUUUCCGGUUCAAGAGGUAGUACUUCAUCGAGUUAUACUUUCCUCCCACUUACUCCUUUCGAGAGAAACUCUUUUUCCAGAAAGGAUCCGUUCUUGGCAACAAAGAUCUUGCCCUCGGAUCUUAAGUAGAAGGUAUACCCAAUGGUUUUCUUAGAGUAUCCUAUGAAGACGCAUUUUUCCGACUUGGGUUCGAGCUUUUCAGGUUGAAGUUUCUUGACAUAAGCAUCGCAUCCCCAAACUUUUAGAAACGACAGCUUAGGUUUCUUCCCAAACCAUAAUUCAUACGGUGUCGUCCCAACGGAUUUAGACGGUGCCCUAUUUAAAGUGAAUGUAGCUGUCUCUAGGGCGUAUCCCCAAAAUGAUAGCGGUAAAUCGGUAAGAGACAUCAUAGAUCGCACCAUAUCCAAUAGAGUGCGAUUACGACGUUCGGACACACCGUUACGCUAAGGUGUUCCAGGCGGCGUGAGUUGUGAAACGAUUCCACAUUUUCUUAAGUGUGUACCAAAUUCGUGACUUAAAUAUUCUCCUCCACGAUCCGAUCGUAAGAAUUUUAUCUUUCGGUCACGUUGAUUCUCUACUUCAUUCUGAAAUUCCUUGAACUUUUCAAAGGUCUCAGACUUGUGUUUCAUCAAGUAGACAUACCCAUAUCUACUCAAGUCAUUAGUGAGAGUGAGAACAUAACGAUAUCCUCCGCGAGCCUCAACGCUCAUUGGACCACACACAUCAGUAUGUAUGAUUUCCAAUAAGUUGGUUGCUCGCUCCGUUGUUCCGGAGAACGGGGUCUUGGUCAUUUUGCCCAUGAGGCAUGGUUCGCAUGUGUCAAAUGAUUCAUAAUCUAGAGACUCUAAAAGUCCAUCAGCAUGGAGCUUCUUCAUGCGCUUGACACCAAUGUGACCAAGGCGGCAGUGCCACAAGUAAGUGGGACUAUCGUUAUCAACUUUACAUCUUUUGGUAUUCACACUAUGAAUAUGUGUAACAUUACGUUCGAGAUUCAUUAAGAAUAAACCAUUGACCAUCGGGGCAUGACCAUAAAACAUAUCUCUCAUAUAAAUAGAACAACCAUUAUUUUCGGAUUUAAAUGAGUAGCCAUCUCGUAUCAAACGAGAUCCAGAUACAAUGUUCAUGCUCAAACUUGGCACUAAAUAACAAUUAUUGAGGUUUAAAACUAAUCCCGUAGGUAAAUGUAGAGGUAGCGUGCCGACGGCGAUCACAUCGACCUUGGAACCAUUCCCGACGCGCAUCGUCACCUCGUCCUUUGCCAGUCUUCGCUUAUUCCGCAGCUCCUGCUGUGAGUUACAAAUGUGAGCAACGGCACCGGUAUCAAAUACCCAGGAUUUACUAAGAGUACUAGUAAGGUACACAUCAAUUACAUGUAUAUCAAAUAUACCUUUAGUGUUGCCGGCCUUCUUGUCCGCUAAGUAUUUGGGGCAGUUCCGCUUCCAGUGACCCUUCCCCUUGCAAUAAAAGCACUCAGUCUCAGGCUUGGGUCCAUUCUUUGACUUCUUCUCGGCAACUGGCUUACCGGACGCGGCAACAUCUUUGCCGUCCUUCUUGAAGUUCUUCUUACCCUUGCCCUUCUUGAACUUAGUGGUAUUAUUGACCAUCAACACUUGAUGUUCUUUCUUGAUUUCAACCUCUGCUGACUUCAGCAUUGAGAAUACUUCAGGAAUGGUCUUCACCAUCCCCUGCAUAUUGUAGUUCAACACAAAGCUCUUGUAGCUCGGUGGGAGCGACUGAAGGAUUCUGUCAAUGACUGCCUCGUCCAGGAAGUUGAUCUCCAGCUGGGACAGGCGAUUGUGCAACCCAGACAUUUUGAGUAUGUGCUCACAGACAGAACUGUUUUCCUCCAUCUUACAACUAUAGAACUUGUCGGAGACUUCAUAUCUCUCGACCCGGGCAUGAGCUUGGAAAACCAUGUUCAGCUCCUCGAACAUCUCAUAUGCUCCGUGCUUCUCAAAACGCUUUUGGAGCCCCGGUUCUAAGCUGUAAAGCAUGCCACACUGAACGAGGGAGUAAUCAUCAGCACGUGAUUGCCAAGUGUUCAUAACGUCUUGGUUCUCUGGGAUGGGUGCUUCACCUAGCGGUGCAUCUAGGACAUAAUCUUUCUUGGCUGCUAUGAGGAUGAUCCUCAGGUUCAGGACCCAGUCCGAAUAGUUGCUGCCAUCAUCUUUCAGCUUGGUUUUCUCUAGGAACGCGUUGAAGUUCAUGUUGACAUGAGCAUUGGCCAUUUGAUCUACAAGACAUAUUUUGCAAAAAAAUUAGACUAAGUUCAUGAUAAUUGAGUUCAUCUAAUCAAAUUAUUUAAUGAACUCCCACUCAGAUUAGACAUCCCUCUAGUCAUCUAAGUGUUACACGAUCCGAGUCGACUAGGCCGUGUCCGAUCAUCAUGUGAGACGGACUAGUCAUCAUCGGUGAACAUCUCCAUGUUGAUCGUAUCUUCCAUACGACUCAUGUUCGACCUUUCGGUCUCUGUGUUCCAAGGCCAUGUCUGUACAUGCUAGGCUCAUCAAGUUAACCCUAAGUGUUCUGCAUGUGUAAAUAUGUCUUACACCCGUUGUAUGUGAACGUAAGGAUCUAUCACACCCGAUCAUCACGUGGUGCUUCGAAACGACGAACUUUAGCAACGGUGCACAGUUAGGGGGAACACUUUCUUGAAAUUAUUAUAAGGGAUCAUCUUAUUUACUACCGCCGUUCUAAGUAAACAAGAUGCAUAAAACAUAAUAAACAUCACAUGCAAUUAUAUAGUAGUGACAUGAUAUGGCCAAUAUCAUAUAGCUCCUUCGAUCUCCAUCUUCGGGGCUCCAUGAUCAUCUUCAUCACCGGCAUGACACCAUGAUCUCCAUCAUUGUGUCUUCAUGAAGUUGUCACGCCAACGACUACUUAUACUUCUAUGGCUAACGCGUUUAGCAAUAAAGUAAAGUAAUUUACAUGGCGUUCUUCAAUGACACGCAGGUCAUACAAAAAAAAAA